AACAAUUUAUUUGUUAAGUUGUGAUUUGGUUCAAUGUAGGGGGUACGAAGCCUGAGGGUUGCCCAGCCCGACUCAAUACGUGUGAACGAAAUUUGGAGCCAUGUCAUGAAAGCAGCUUGUAUUGGUGGGUUUAGUGCUGGUGUACUCAUAAUUUUCGCAGAUCUCAUUGGAGUGCUUUGUUCUGGGACUGCAAUUAUGCUCGCUGUUUCUGCCAUAUAUCCUUAUGUUGAUGGCAGAGCUAGUGAGGUCGGCUCCUUUGGCUUCUAACUGAUUUGAGUUCUCUACUUCCUAUACAAAAAUGAGGAUGCAGAAAGAAUGCAAUCCAACAGCCAGCCUCAAUUGUAACAAGAAUUAAUAGUGACUUGUUUAUUUUUCAUUAAGUCGUGUUAGUCUUGUAGCCUGCAACCAACCUUUGUUUUUUCUCAUCUUAUAAUGUUCUGUGCUAAAAACAUUAUGCAGAAUGAUUUAUUUACCAUGUCUGUGUUGUGUUCUGUGCACUGUUAGUGAGUGAAACUAUUAUGCGCACAUACUAUAUAUAAAAGUUCCUCAUCCUAUCUUCAUUAGCAGAAUUUCAACUUCAGUAGUAUUUUCUCCGUUUCACAAUGUAAGACUUUCUAACAAUGAUAAAUUUAGGUAAUGCUAGAAAGUCUUACAAUAUGAAAUGGAGGUAGUACCUGUAACCGUAAGUAGCUAGAAGUUUUGUUCCUCAAAUCACUGUAUGGAUGGUCAGAGCAACAGUAAAGGAACUAGAGAGGGCUUGAACAUGGUAGAGUUACUUAGAAUGGGAGCACCAAAAAUUAAGUUUUGUUCCUCAAAUUACUUAGAAUAUGCACAUGAGGAGGACGAGGAAAUAAACCCCUGGAUGGGUGAUCUCAGACGGCGACGACGGUGUUUUGUAUGAAUGGCAGCGGUGGUCGUACAGUCAUCAGCGGCUCCUGAUGAGCUGACAAACGCAGAAAGCCAUAGAUGAACAGGUCAGUCAUAGGGUAGCAUUGCAAAGGCAGACUAGUUAUAUACCCGUGCGAACGUUACAGUGAUAAUUUGUAUUUGGUAAUGCAAAUAAAAAAUAAUCCAUGGUCUAACACUAUUAAAAUAACUAAAGUGCAUAUCAUCUUGAACAUAUAUAUGUGAUAUGAAAACCCUAGAGAGUCACGUAUCAGUUAUUGUUUAUGAAAAUUGCACAUGACCAGGCUAGCAAAGAAGAAAAAAAUAUUCUCAUCCCCUCACUCCUCGAAAAAAAGGACCCCGCUGCCUGAUCCCUUGCUCUUGCUACUCCUUUGGCCCCCACACUCACCACUCCUCUAACCACACCCUCGGUUCAAGUGACAAUGUUGAGUACACCGAUAUAAUAAAAUGUUAGGGUAAAAACAUGGUAAUUUAUAGUAUAUGUCUGCUGUUUGAGAUUUUAAAUAAUGCAGCUAGCAGAAACAGAAAUACCAAGAAUCGGAUAUGACCUACAAUACAAAAGAAUAGUUCUUUUUACUAUCACGAGGAGAACAACAUCUCCAAGUUAAACAAAGCGUUUCAGUAAACAUACUACGAAGCAGCGUACAUCUUUAUAUUGUCACCUAGGAUUAAUUUCAACUUCAGUAGUACUUUCUCCAUUUCACAAUAUAAAAAGCAUUAUCUAGAUUCAUAUGGAUGCUAACGAAUCUAAACAUAUAUAUAAAUUAUAUACAUUUAUCAAUUGAUUAAUUUAGACAAAGCUAAAAAGUCUUACAAUAUAAAAUGGAGGCAGAACCAUAUAACCACAAGUAGCUAUAAGUUUUGUUCAUGGUCAGAGCAACAAUAAAGUAACUAGAGCAACAGUAAAGGAACUAGAGAGGGCUUGAACAUGGUAGAGUUACUUAGAAUAGGAGCACCAAAAUUAAGUUUUGUUCCUCAAAUUACUUAGAAUGGGAGCACCAUGGCACGAUGCACAUGAGGAGGACGAGGAAAUAAACCCCUGGAUGGGUGAUCUCAGACGGCGACGAAGGCGUUUUGUACGAACGACAGCGGUGGUCGUACAGUCAUCGGUGGCUCCUAGUGAGCUAACAAACACAGAAAGCCAUAGAUGAACAGGUCAGUCACAGGGUAGCAUUGGAAAGGAAGAUUGAGAGGAGGACAAUCACUACAUCUGUUUUUAGAGAAUAAUGCAUGAUAAAUAUGUAAACACAAUAUAUGUGAUAUAACCAUCACUUCUAUGAUUACUUUUAGGGCAUAUCACUAACACAUACCUCGAAGCAAACCUGUGAAGAAAGUAGAUAAACCGGAGGAGGUUCCUCUGACUUAAAGUUAGAAGAACAUUGAGACUGACAUAUGGGCCCCACUGUGUAUGGGCCCACAUGUCAGCGAGAGGGGUGUCCCUAAAGUCAGAGGAUCCCUUUCCAGAUAAACCGGUCAAGAAGACAUCGUCGAUGACACAUCUACUUAUCCCUAAUCCUACACCGCCGUCGGCAGCGACAAUCUCUCCGGCGUGCCGUGAGACCAAACCAUCGAAAUCAUACAGCUGCUCCAAUUUGAGGGUAGUUGCGUCGACACUAGAGAGAAAAGUAUACGCGCCUACAAAGAAAGAUCAUUGGAGAUGCAUAUUGAGAUCGUAUUCAGACUACAGCUAACCGAAAAUUCACAAAUUAGUAUAAACAUACCAGAAGACGUAGGCAGGUGGAGCGAUGAGUGUCUGGACAGCCAGCCCAGUCAGCGUCAGUGUAGACGAUGAGCUCAGUGGAAGGAGACCGGUGAAGGACCAAGCCGUAGUCAACUGUGCCACAAGCAUAGCGGAGGAGCCGCUUCAGAGCAGCGAGGUGUGACUCGCGGGGUUCAUGCAUAUGGAGGCAGACCUGCUGGAUGGCAUAUGUGAUGUCUGACCCAGUGAAAGUGAGUUACUGCAAGGCCCCUGCAAGGCUCCGGUAUGCAGUCGGGUCAGCAACAGGAUCGACCAAGUCUGUAGAAAGCUUCGCCUGAGUGUCGACCGGAGUGGAGCACGCCUUGCAAUCAGUGACUGGCCUGAGUGUCAAGGGCAUACUGGCGCUGGUGAAGAAAGAGGCUAGAAGGACGAGGCUCGACAGUGACACCCAGGAAGUGGUGGAGCACACCUAGAUCCUUCAUGGCAAACUCCUGCUGCAGGGACUGGAUGAUGCACUGAAGCAAGAGCUAACCGGACGCUGCAAGGAUGAUGUCAUCGACAUACAGUAGCAGAUAUGCAGUGUCAGUGCCACGGCGGUAGACAAACAGGGAUGUAUCCGACUUGCACUCUGUGAACCCCAAGGAGACUAAGAAUGUGGCAAACCGAGAGUACCAAGCCUGCGGAGCCUGCUUCAGUCCAUAGAGGGAUUUGUUGAGGCGGCAAACCUUGUCAGGAUGACUGGAAUCCACAAACCCCGCUGGCUGGCUGCAAUAGACUGUCUCAGACAAGGUGCCAUGGAGAAACGCGUUCUUGACAUCCAGCUGGUGCACAGGCCAUGAGCGAGAGAGAGCAAGCGAGAGAACCACGCGCACUGUGGCAGGCUUCACCACCGGGCUGAAAGUCUCAUCAUAGUCCACACCAAGCCGCUGAGUAAAGCCCCGGAGAACCCAACCAGCCUUGUAGCGGUCCAAAGAGUCAUCAGCACGACACUUAUGCGUCCUAUCCACUUGCCAGUGACCACAUUGCAACCAGACGGACGUGGUACAAGGUCCCACGUCUGGUUGGCAAGAAGGGCCGCAUACUCCUCCUCAAUCGCCUAACGCCAGUGGGGAUCAGCGAGGGCAUCGCGUACAGAGGAGGGAAGCGGGGAUAUCCCCGGCUCGCCAGCGGCGGCGGAGAGGACCUUUGGGGGGAGAACGCCCGCCGCCCCCCGUGUCACCAUGGGAUGAGUGUGGCCAGGAUCCCGAUGGAGGACAGGCGGAUGGUAAACCACAGGAUCAGGACGACCUCGAGUGGCAAGAUCGGACUGUCCGGUCCCUGGGUCCGGACCAUCUAACCGGUCCUCACGGUCAAACAGAGGGCUAGGACCGGACUGUCCGGCCCUUGGGUCCGGACCGUCCGGCCAGAACUCCCGGCCAGACAGAGGGCCAGAGCUGAACUGUUUGACCCCUGGGUCUGGACCGUCCGGCGGCAGAGAUGGAGAUGCCGGCACCGGGGCCGGCGCUGAUCGACGUCGGUAAACGAGAACCGGUCGGUCGGGAGAGGACACCGUUGUCGCUCGUGGCACGGGAGAGGACGUCGGGGCCACACGUGGCGUAGCGGAGACGACCGGAAGUGGAGUCGGUGGAACCGGGUGACCUGCAUGUAAAGGGUAUAUAGAGACAGGUGGCUGGACCACCGGGUGUAGUGGAGGUGGAGUAGGGGAAGUCUGACUCAUCAAACAUGACAUGCUGGGAGAUAAGGACUCGGCGAGAGGUUAGGUCGAAGCAGCGGUACCCCUUGUGGUCAGGGGAGUAGCCAAGAACACGCACCGAGUCGAACGAAGCGCCAGCUUGUGAGCAGUGGUGACAGAGGUGUUGGGGUAGCAGGCGCAGCUGAAGACACGGAGGUGAUCAUACUGAGGAGGGGUUCCGAAAAGGGGGUGAUGUGGGAUGGGAGCUGGGGAGGCAAUGGAGGGGAGACGGUUGAGAAGGUAGGUAGCAGUGUGGAGCCCCUCGGCCCAAAAGCAGGUAGGAAGAGAGGCCUGGAAAAGGAGGGUGCGCACCACGUCGUUCGUGGUACGGAUCAUCCGCUCAGCCUUGCCGUUCUGAGGGGAGGUGUAUGGGCAAGACAUGCGCAGGUGUAUGCCACGAGAGAGGAAGAAGGCACGAGAGGCGCUAUUGUCGAACUCACGACUAUUGUCACACUGAACGGCUUUGAUGGUUAGACCAAAUUGAGUGGUGACCCAGGCAAAGAAGUGGAGAAGGGUGGAGAACGUGUCAGACUUCGCACGCAGCGGAAAAGUCCAAGAGUAGUGAGAGAAAUCAUCAACAAUCAGUAGAUAGUAUUUAAAGCCAGAAAGACUGAUGACAGGAGAGGUCCACAGAUCACAGUGAAUAAGAUCAAAAGCAUCACUCACACGCGAAGAAGAAGAAGAAGAAAAAGGAAGUCUAACAUGACGGACUAACUGGCACGCAUGACAAAAAAUCCCAUCAGUUCCCCUAGUACAAGAAAGAUCUGCACUACGACUGAGCCGAGCCAAAACGUCGCGGCCGGGAUGACCAAGCCGGCGGUGCCAAGUAGUGGAAGAAAUAGUAGUGGCAAAAGCAACUGACGAAGGUGGAGGCGAGGAGGGAGCAGCGGAAACCGGAAGACGGAGGGUGUAAAGGGGUCCCUGGCUGUCACAUCGGAGGAGUUGACGCCGGGAAGCCAAAUCCUUCACAGUAAGACCAGAAGAGUCAAACUCAACAGAAUAGGAAUUGUCAGCGGUAAAUUUGCGAAUAGACAGAAGGUUGUGAACCAUCUGAGGGCAACAAGAACAUUAGGAAGGUGAAAGGAACCAUGAACAAAGCCCACAAAGGUGACAGGAAGGAAAGAACCAUUGCCAACCAUGAUGGCAGAAGGAUAGGAGGGAUGGGGAGGAUGGAUGGAAGAAAGAAUACCAGCAUCAGGUGUGGUGUGGUAUGAGGCACCUGAGUCGACGAUCCAUUUCGCGCUGACCGACGACGUCAGCUGCAAGGUGCUGAAGGACUAGGCCAGUUCCGCCUGGUCCCACCCCCCCGACCAGGCUGGUUGAGUCGGAGCAGGAGUUGAAAUCCUAGGGAGAUAGCAUAGAGAGGGGGUGAAUAGGCUACCUGAAAGAUUUUCUUGAAUGCAGCGGUCAGUAGGGUUGGACCGUCCGAGCUCAGGGGCGGACCGUCCGGCCGGGGCUCUCGGGUUGGGCCGAGGGUUUUGGCCGGACCGUCUACCUAUGAACACCGGACCGUCUGGUCAGUGAAAGGAGGGAUGCCUAUGAACACGCAUCUACCGGUCGCACAAGAUCGCUCAAAGACGCUUAAGGUCACUCACUAAUCUCUCUCAACACAACCUAGGCUAGGUUCUCACUUUAAUCACUCUAAAGAGUGUUGGGAUUAGUGAGGGAGGCUUAGGGGGUGCUAGAACAACCCUAGAAUCACUUCUGUUUGAACUAGGAGCCUCUCCAACGGCUAGAAUCCCGAGGUGGGUUAAAUAGUGCAUUCAAACGUCAGCUAGCCGUUGGAUAAAGUUACAAGGGCCGGACUGUCCGGGCCUAGGUGCCGGACCAUCCGGCCAACACUUGUACUCUAGAUUCUGCCUGGGACCGGACUGUCCGGGCCCACCCGGACUGUCCGGUCGAGGCUCUCUGGAAUUUUUGUAAUUCUAGCCUCUAGCACUCAUCACUCAAACCGUGGAUGCAUGUGUUGACUAGGUGACCCCUCUUAAUAGUACGGAUUGUCAUACGACUCAAGACGAAAAGGAAAACACCUUCGCUUUGAUUCCGAUUGAUUUAUCGCCUUAAGGGUCACUUCCCGUUCAACUUGAAUAAUUUGCAGUAGGAGUAUGAAUUAGACUUCACUUGUCUUCUCUGCAUCCACAAACGGUUAGCACACACAUGCUUUAACGAGAAUUGUCAUUAAUCAUCCAAAAUAGGCUUAGGGGCUAGAUGCACUUUCAAUCUCCCUCUUUUUGGUGAUUGAUGACAAUACUCGUUAAGUCAUGUCAAAAGCAACAAUAAUAGAAGAGAGACAUAUAUUCUAGCUCCCCCUACAUGUGUGCCAACAAUAAAGGAGACAUCCAUACAUGCUUAAUCGAAUAAGUCUAAACAACACAUAAGCAUUUAAAGGUUCAAGCAUCCAAACAAACACACAUGCAAGGAAAUAGAGUGCGAGCUAGACUUAACAGUCAUUACAACCCAGCGAACAAACUUAAAUAGAAUUAACAAAGUUUGAGAGAUAGGGUGGUUGUUCUGGAGAGGGGGAGGCCGGACUGUCCGGCUUCAGGGCGGACAGUCCGACACUGUCAAGUCAAAAGAAUGAUGACCCCCCUCAAUUCCCUACAACUUCUCCCCCUUUGGCAUCAAGGCACCAAAAAGGAAUAGUGUAGGGGGAAUGAGGGGACCGAGGGGACCACUCCUCAUCAUCCUCAUCGUCGUCUGUCGCCGCAUCAUCCUCAUCAUCAUCUUCUUCGCCCUCUGCCUCCUCAUUCUCCUCCUCCUCGGUUUCUUCAUCACUAUCUUGAGGAGCACGGGAGAAAGAAGCACCAGCUGCCCGUUCCGCCUGGUCCGCCUCAUAGGCCUCGAAGGGAUCAAUAUACUCUUCGUCUUCAGAUUCUGGAGGAAUCUCAUGGCCGGCAUUGCGCAAAAUCUGAUUGAUCUUGCGCUCAUUUGAUUUGAUCUUGAUGGCAUUUUUCGUGCAGAUGCUGAAGAUGGCGGAGAGGGCUCUGUUGAUCGGUGAGGAGGAUGGAGAGCCUGAAGACGGACGAGCCGUCUUGGAUGUGCCAGAAGAGCUAAUAGGUCUACCCUUGGAUCCAGUGACCUUCGGUGCUUGAGGGAUCUUGGGUCGGUACGCGUAAUGCUCACACUCUCCCUUGAAAUAAAAGCCAGUGGCACGCUGAAUCAUCAUGUGAAGGAAUGGAGCAUAGGACAUCCCCUUCGAAGGAUCAAGAACGAUAGCCUGGAUCUCAUUCCAAAUGUACUUCAUGAUGCUGAAUGGCUGAGCAGAGGCACGCAUGCGAAGAAGUAGGGCUGCAUGCCUUGUGGUAAGGGCCGACUUGUCUCCACUAGUAGGAGCCAGAGUGGUCUUGAUCAACUUGAGCAGAAGAUCGAAAUGAGGAAGAAGACCUUUUGUGGUGCCCAGAUGAAUUUGGCUUCCAUCAUCCACAUAAAGCCUCCUGAUCAUAUCCUGAGAUGGCGCUGGCUCAUCAUGAAGGCUGGCUUGUUAAGGUCCUGACUAUAGAUCCCUAAGAUAUCUGCAAACUCAGACAUGGUGAUAGUGUACUCUAUUCCUUCUGUCAGCCAACGAAGUUGCUGCUCUGUCUCAUCCUCACUAUCUUCAAAGAAUGCAGUUGCAUAGAACUGUCCAAUGAGCUCAGCACUCCAAGCAUGCUCAUGACCCAUCAACUCGCCCACGUGCUUUUCAUGGCACACGCGAAUCACAGUCUUUGCUACCAUACUGCUCUGCUUCCUCAGAAAGUCCCAAUCUAUCCAUUUCAUCUCUGUAAUAGCCGGCUUCUUGCGACCCAUGAAGACGGAGUUAUACCAAUCAACUUGAACAUCAGUGUAAAACCGAUAAUCCAAGUCGCAGCGAAACUGAGCUUCUGGGGCCUUUCCUCUGUCUAUUCUAGCUCUUGCCAUGUUGUGCAGGUAGUCCACCCUUUUUCUUGGAGUUUCAUGAGCAGGGGUGAAGAUCUGCACUCUCCUGGGGACAAGGGAGAUUGCUCCCUCUGCUGCCUCAUGAUUGGGGCGUUGGGCAUCACAAGACCGAGGAGUGGUGCCUUGGGUAGACUUGGAGGGAGUACCCUAGGAGGAUCCCAAACUGCGAGGUUCCUCAAUGCGAAUUCCGCCACUUGGCCGCGGACGGUUCGCUGCCUUUUUUACUCUUCUUCUUGGGGAGACCUCACAACAUUUUUUUUGCCAACUUUCUUGGAUGAGACCUCAUCAAUGGUCUUCUUGCCAAUCCUCCCCCUUGGAUACUGCACUGGUGGGGAAUGGUCACCGUCGGACUCAGUAGAAGUGGACACGGGAUCUUGACGCUUCUUGCAUCGUUUUUGCGGCACAUUGCUGCUGCUGCCUCUACAAGUCAUGAUGAUCUUACACCCACAGAGAGUCAAAGACAGGUAUGAGUAAAGUGAGUGUAAGGUAGAGCCAAGAGGUGCAAUGGUUAGAAAGACAGCAGGGGUCGAACAGUCCGGGUGGUGUCCAGACAGUCCGGUCAGAGUUCUCGGCCAGGCCGAGCCCCUUGGCCGGACCGUCCCGUCAAGAGCACCGGACCGUUCGGUCCUAGGUAGGUCGCAAAGAUCGACCAAUGCAAUUUGAGUUUUGCAAUGGAUCGGCUAACUAGACACUUAGGAGAAAGACCCUAUGAAGUUGGAAUACUUUCUACGUCCUCAGAUUGAGAGAUCGGGCAAAAGGAACGUAGAAAAUCGAAGAAUGGAUUUGAACCAAUACCUCGAGUCACGGGGCGUCGAUCCUUGUCGCGGGGAUGAGUUCUUCACUUCGAAUGGAAGGAAAAACGUGAAACCCGACGGAGUUUUGACUGUGGAAUCGCGAGACCACCUCGGGGGGUGAGAGAGGAAACUAGGGUUUGAGGAAGAGAGAGAGAUUGAGGGGAGAAACUGACUAAGAGUCGGGCUCCCAGGGUAUUUAUGCCCUGGGGGCCAGACUGUCCAGUCAGGGGCUGGACCGUCUGGCCGCUUGAGAACAGGCAGACCGAGGGCUUUGAUCGGACUGUCUAGCUAGGGGGCGGACAGUCCUACCUAAGCAAAUUGGGUUGAGAUAAAAGAAGCUGAAGCGAAAAUCUACGAGGUUCGUCGAUUUUUGUUUGAGUACCAGAUCAAUCAACAUUACGUAACAAUGAUCCUCAAUCAAAAAUCAACCUUUUCGCAAUCUAGAAAAAGAGUUUUCGCAAAACACACAAGAUUUUCACAAUGUUUUUCACAAAACAAGAGUUUUGAAGUUUUGUAUUUGGGGGAAUGUUUGAGCCUUACUCCUGGUAUUUAAGACCAAUUCUAUGUAAGAAUUGACCAUAAAAAAUACGAAGACUCAUGUCGUUUUAACAAAUGCAAGAAAUUGACUUUAACUAUUUAGAAGUUAAACCGGUUUUCAUGCAACAUUGCGAGAAUCCGAGAUAUUUAGCUCAUUUCUCAACUCGCAAAACCUUUUCUCAUCUAAGGGCUUGGUGAAAAUGUCGGCUAGUUGGUGUUCGGUUCUCACAUGGGUAAGGGUGAUGUCUCCUUUGGUUUCAUGAUCCCUCAAGAAGUGGUGUCGGAUAUCUAUAUGUUUGGUUCUUGAGUGUUGGACCGGGUUGUUAGCUAUUUUGAUAGCGCUCUCAUUGUCACAAAGGAGUGGGAUCCUAGUCAUGGUAUAUCCAAAAUCUUGGAGGGUUUGCUUCAUCCAUAGGAGUUGAGCACAACAUGCACCGGCGGCUAUAUACUCGUCUUCGGCGGUGGAUAAAUUAUGAAAUUUUGUUUCUUGGAUGACCAUGAGACUAAGAACCGUCCAAGGAAUUGACAAGUCCCCAAGGUACUUUUUCUAUCAACCUUACACCUGGCGUAAUCCGAAUCGGAAUAGCCAACUAGCUCAAAGUUACACCCUUUAGAAUACCAAAGCCCUAGGUUUAGAGUAUGAACUAGAUAUCUUAGAAUUCCCUUUACGGCCAUCAUAUGACACUCCUUAGGAGCGACUUGAAAUCUAGCACACAUGCAAACACUAAGCAUGAUAUCGGGCCUAGAUGCACAGAGGUAAAGGAGUGAACCAAUGAUAGAGCGGUAUACCUUCACGUCCACAUCCUUACCAUUUAUGUCGAGGUCGAGAUGCCCGUUGAUUUGCAUUGGUGUCUUGAUGGGUUUGGCCUCAUGCAUAUCGAACUUCUUUAGAAUAUCCUUCAAAUACUUCGCUUGCGAUAUGAAUGUGCCAUCUUUGAGUUGGCACACUUGAAAUCCGAUAAAGAACUUCAACUCCCCCAUCAUUGACAUCUCGAACCUCUUGGUCAUGAUCCUACUAAACUCCUCACUAAAGGAAAUGUCAGUUGAGCCAAAGAUUAUGUCAUCGACAUAAAUUUGGCACAUGAAUAGAUCAUCAUCAAAUCUUUUAGUGAAAAGAGUAGUGUCGGCCUUUCCGAUUUCAAAACCAUUGUUGGCCAAGAAAUCGCGAAGGCACUCAUACCAAGCUCUAGAGGCUUGCUUAAGCCCGUAGAGAGCCUUGUGGAGCUUGUAGAUGUGCUCGGGGUGCUUCGGAUCCUCGAAUCCCGGUGGUUGCUCCACAUACACCAAUUCGGAUAUUGGUCCAUUUAAGAAGGCGCUCUUGACGUCCAUUCGAUACAACUUGAAAUCAUGGUUAGCGGCAAAAGCUAAUAAAAUACGAAUGGACUCAAGGCGAGCAACCGGUGCAAAGGUUUCACCAAAGUCAAGUCCUUCGACUUGAGUAAAACCUUGUGCCACUAACUGGGCUUUGUUUCUUGUGACGACUCCAUGUUCAUCUUGCUUGUUGCGGAAGACCCACUUGGUCCCGAUGACAUUUUGCUUGGGCCUUUCUACAAGCGACCAUACUUCAUUUCUCUUAAAAUUGUUAAGCUCUUCUUGCAUGGUCAUUACCCAAUCCGGGUCUCCAAGUGCAUCUUCCACUUUCACUGGUUCCAAAGAUGAAACAAACGAGUAUUUUUCACAAAAACAUGCAAUUCGGGAUCGAGUCGUUACCCCUUUUCGCAUGUCGCCAAGGAUGUUGUCCACCGGGUGGUCCCUUUGUUCAGUUUGGUGAAUUCGAGAAUAGUGCACCGUGGGGGCGGGAACCAAUUCUUACUCACUCGCGCCCACAGCAUCAAUCCCAUCCUCAAGGUCUUUAUUGUCACCACCAUCACAAACUUGUACUUGAUCAUCUUGGGUUGAGAGUCCUUGUUGAAGAUCUUGUUCUUGCUCUUGCUCCCCCUCAACCUCCCGGGGUCUCAUAUCUCCAAUGGCUUUGUUGUUUAUAUCCUCCCUUGAAGUUCCAAUUCCUACAUCAUUCACUUCAGCUUGCUCUACUUGAGAGCCAUUAGUUUUAUCAAACGUCACGUCCCUUGAGACUUCAACAAUAUCGGUGGUUUUGUUGAAGACCCGGUAGGCACGUGCGUUUGCCUUGUAUCCUUAUAAGAAGCCUUCGUCUAUUUUGGAAGCAAAUUUUGAAGAUCCAGGCCUUUUGCUAAGAAUGAAACAUUUGCAACCAAAGAAGCGAAAGUAGGAUACGUUGGGCUUUUAACCGAUUAGAAGUUUAUAUGCGGUCUUCUUGAGGAGCUUGUGGAGGCAUAGAUAGUUGAGGGAGUGGCAAGCGGUGUUAACGGCUUAGGCCCAGAAGACGUCCGACGUCUUGUACUCGUCAAGCAUCGUCUGAGCCAUCUCAAUGAGCGUUCGGUUCUUCCUCUCCACUAUCCCAUUUUGAGGAGGAUCAUAUGGAGCAGAGAACUCGUGCUUGAUUCCCUCUUCUUCAAGGAACUCUUCAACUUGGGUAUUCUUGAAUUCUCCUCCGUUGUCACUCCGUACUCUCUUAAUCUUCACUUCAAACUCAUUUUGCGCCCUCUUAGCAAAUUUCUUGAAGAUUUCUUGAGUUUCGCUUUUGUCAUAGAGAAAGAAAACCCAAGUGAAGCGAGAAAAGUCAUCAACAAUUACGAGACCAUGUUUGUUACCUCCCAAUCUUAGAUAAGCUAUUAGCCCGAAGAAGUCUAUGUGCAAAGUCAUCAACAAUUUCUUGAGUUUCGCUUUUGUCAUGAUGUUCUUUGAAGGGUGAAAUGUCCCGACAUGUUUCCUCGCUUGGCAAGCACAACAAACUCGGUCUUUCUCAAAAGAUACAUUAGGUAUGCCAAGAAUGUGCUCCCCUUUAGAAGAGUUGACAAAUUUCUUAUUCCGGAGUGACCCAGGCAGCGAUGCCAAAGCCAUCCAAGAGUCAAUUUGGCGAUUAAGCAAGAUUCGGGGUUGACUCUAUCAUUGUCAGUCAACAAGAUAGAGAUCUCCUUUCAAUCUACCCUUAAACACCUUCAAUUUGUCAUCUCUUCUUUCCUUUGUUGUCAUCUCCAAAAAUUAUAUUGUCGUGGUCUUCACCGUCUUUGUCGAGUGAAGUAAACAUACUCCUUUCUCCGGUCAUGUGAUUAGUGCAUCCGCUAUCGAUCACCCAAGUCGAGCCACCGGAGGAGUAUGCCUAUAGGAAACAAGUCAAGCAUGCAAUUUUGGUACCCAAACUUGUUCAAGUUUGGGUCCCUUCACAAUAGCAACCAAAUGUUUUGGAAUCCAUAAGUUUUGCCUUUGCUUCUCAUGUUUUGAUCCGUUGAAGAUAGCGACCACAUGUCCACGGUCGUUCUUCAUGAUCUCAUAUGAGCCAUAGAGAAGUCUAAGCUUAACCGGAUCCUCAUGGGUUGAGGUUGGCUUUGACUUAGCUCUCCUGCCCUGCUGGGGUUGGACCGUCCGACCUUGGGAGCCGGACCGUCCACCCGGACCUCUCGGCCAGACAAAGGGGUCUGGUCGGAUCGUCCGGCCCCUGGGAACGGACUGUCCGGCUGAGCUUCUCUGGAGGACAGAGACCUCAGGCAGGACUAUCUAGCCAUGUCCGACCUUAGGGCUGUUUUUCCCUUCUUCUUUGCCCUUGGACUCUCCUUCCUUCACAAAAACUAGGCAUGACUUUCCAUUUAUCAUGACCCUUUUGGAGCUAGUAUUUGUGUUGGGGGAGUACCCAAGACCACGCUUAUCCUUGUUGUGAUGCGUUGCGAUAGUCUUGAAUAGGGCUUCCUUGGAUUGAUAGGUUUGAAUACAUCCAAACUUAAUCAAGGUCUUCAACCUCUCAUUCUCCUCUUCAACUCCUUAAGAGCUUCAUUGUUAGUCUCAACAACACUCAAGUCAAUAGUUUUGCAUUUCUCACAAUCAAGUAUAGUAUUGACUAUUGUAUUGUCCUUAGAGUUGGAGAGGUGGCUCUUAAGGUUGUCAAUUUCAUUCUCAAGAUCAUUUUGCCUCAAGUUCAUGGACACAAUUGUCUCCUCUAGAAGUUCAUUGACAUCCUUAAGAUUGACUAUGGUUUGAUUUGCUAGUUUGAGCUCCUUAGGCAAAUCAACCAUUUCCUCAUCUUUUCCGGCAAGAGUCUUUUUAAGAGAGUCAUUUUUCAUCCUCUCUUGAACAAGAAGAUCUUCUUGCCUCUCUAGCAAACUUUCCUUCUCUUCUAGCACUUUCAUGAGUUUAGCAAUAUGAAUAAGAGCAGGUUUGCUAAAAUCCCUAAGCAUAGCAUCAUCAUCAUCAUGGUCUACAUCAUCAUCAUCACUAGAAUCAUCACUAUGCUUAGGGGUAAGGAAUACCUUGUGCCCUUGCACCAUGAAGCAUAACGUGAUCAUUGUCGUCGUCACUCAAGUUGGGGAAGAGUCGCUUUGAGCUUGAUGAAGAGAUGGCCACGGUGGUGAUGCCUUUGCUUUUGGAGCAACUUGCCUUGGACUCCUCUUCCUUGUCAUCCUCGUCGUCGCUUGAAAACCACUCUUCACCAACGUGUGCUCUUCUGGGCUUCUUCUUGAAGUACUUGAUUUUGCUCUUGCUUUCCUUAUUCUUGGCUAGCUUGAGACAAUCCGCUAUGAAGUGCCCAAAUUCUUUGCAUUCAUAGCAAGCUUUCUUGGAUUGUCGCUUAGAUCGAUCUUCAUCCCUUCUUCCAUGGCUCUUCUUGCGAAGAAACUUAUUGAACUUGUGGACUACGAGAGCGAGUUCUUCAUCCUCACUCUCCGAGUCACUUGAGCUUUCCUCUUGGAUCUUGGAGCUCCUUGCUUUUGCUUUGAAGGCCACCUCAUUGUUCUUGACUUGAGCGGCGGUGGUGGCGUACUUCUUGACUUUCUUAGCUUCUUCUUCUAAGAGCUCAUGUGAUAUGAUUCUUGAUAGCACAUCGCUAGGAGUCAUCCUCUUGAAUCCGCUUGACUCACGGAUUAAGGUCACCAAGGUGGGGUUCCUUGGUGAGAUGGCCCGGAGCAAGCGCUUCACCACCACAUGAUCCGUCAUAUCUUCACUUCCAAGCCCAUAGAUCUUCUUUACAAGGACCAUCAUGCGUUCAUAUAUCUCUUGAGCUGUUUCAUCAUCUUCCAUGAUGAAUCUUCCAAGCCUUCCUUCAAGAAGUUCAAUCUUGGAUUCACGAACUUCCCUAGAUCCUUCAUGAGCCACCCAAAGAGUGUUCCAAAUUUCCUUGGCUUCAUCAAGUUGAUCCACUUUGUUGAACUCCUCCGGACUCAAGGAGUUGAGGAUUACACUUGCCACUUGAGCAUUGCAGUGGAUGAGAAGCUCUUGAGCUGGAGUAAGAUCAUCCUCAUCGUCCGUUAUGUCGCUCACAUCUGUGCACACAAACUUCCAAACACUAGUAUGUAAAGAGAUUAGGUAGAGCCUUAUUUUGUGCUUCCAUGCACCAUAAUGAGUCCCAUCAAAGAGAGGAUCGCAACGGGAAGACAAAGAUACAUUAGAGGAAGAAGAGUUUAGUUUAGAGUAAUCAAACUCAAAAAUUGCUCUCUUCCUAGAGCUCUCAGCUUUCUCCGUCGAACCUUCUCCUCCCUCAAGGUUGAUGUUGGAAGCGUCGCUAGUCUUGUCUCCCAUCUUGGAUCACUUCAAGCGAUUAAGCCUUUUCAGAAGAAUAGAGGGGGUGAAUAGGCUACCUGAAACAUUUUCUUGAACGCAACGGUCAGUAGGGCCGGACCGUCCGGGCUCAGGGGGCGACCGUCCGGCCGGGGCUCUCGGGUUAGGACGAGAGUUCUUGCCGGACCGUCCGGCUAUGAACACCGGACCGUCUGGUCAGUGAAAGGAGGGAUUUUCAAGCCCUCCUUUCUUGGUGUAGUUCGUGAGAACGUGUAGUGUAUGUGUGAGAAAGAUGAAUAUAGAAAAGUCGCACGAUCAACAAGAAACCAAGAAAUGCACAAAAGAGAACACAAGAUAGUUUUACCCGAAGUUCGGAUUCUUCGACCCUACUCUCCGCUGAGGCGCUCCACUGAGCGGGAUCCCUCUUGAUCCUUUUCCUCUCUUUGCUUUCUCCCACAAGGUCGACUCAAGUCACCGGAUUCAACCCUAGGUGCUAGCUAGCCCUUGAUCGACCACCAAGGUCAAGAUCAAGGCGCUCAACCUAGCCCUAGAUUGCAAUCCAAUCCACUUGGCAGCAUUCUAGGAGGAAGCACAAGAAUUCACUAAGUAACUUGCCUUUUUCCUUGCGGAGGUUAGGCGUCAACCUUCACAAACUUGAUCCCGGGCGAUCCACAAGCUUGGAUGCUUGCGGGCAACGCCUAUCCGUCUAGGAGCAUGAACUCCAAGAGUAAUAGGCUUCCAUGUCUCCACACGCAUCCAUCGGUCGCACAGAGCACAUUCUAUAUAGUGUUUUUGCAGUGUGGAAGAUGGUGCAAUUUUUGUUGCAAUCUAGUGCAAGUUUCAUUACAAAGUAGUACUACUUUGUAAUAUUACUGUCCAGUGUUAUCUUUUGGAAUCAUAAGUUGUGCUCUCUGUACAACUGGUACUCUGCAUUGUCUGUUAACCCUGGGCAUAAAUGUUGAAUACAUUCUCAAAUUGCCAAGAAAUGGGAUCAAGUAAAAAAGAAUCACAUACACAGAUUAAUCAACUGCAUUUAUUUAGUGCAAUUUUACUUCAGCGAUGUACCUAACAGUGGUGGAUGCAACAUGUAUCCAUCAAACAAGUUAUGUGUGUGUGUCAAGGCUCUCUUUGGAGGUAAUAAUAAACUCAAAAGGUGCAUAUUGAUUUUUUUUAUAUAUCUAUAGUGUAAUUUCCAAUGAACAGUAGUGCAAUUGGCAGUAUUUACAGUACAAUUUUUAAUACCUCGCUCUAUGGCAGGGUUUGCCUUCUCGGAUGCGGUAAGGGCUGGUUAGCACGACUUACUAUUUUUUUAUAUUUAUUCUAAAUUCUUAAAUAAGACGAAUGGUCAGAUGUUGCAAUUAAAAAAGUCAAACAUAUUACAUUAUGAAACAGAGGUAGUAUAUAAUAAAGAUGUGCCUCAAUUUUGUUGUGGUGUAUCCUAGCCUUCCCUGGAACAGGGAUCUAUUUUUGUUCCGGUCAUCAGCCUCGCCGGGUCGUCCAUUUGUCUGAGCUCCUCCAACGUGAGCCGUUUCUUACCUCCUGCAGCGUAAGGUGGUGACAUGUGAGGAAGGCGUUCAUGGCGGAAGAGCGCGGGGGAGCUGCUAAUUUUUCUUCGAACCAAGAGCUGCCAUCCAUCCGAAUUUCAUGGCCAUUCGACUUCGUAGUUUGGGCUCGGACACGAUGUCACUGUUUGAAAAGACACCUGGGGUUCAUGGACUUAUUCGAUAUGAAAGACAAUCAAUUCUGAGAAUUAGUUAUGGAUGUUUUAGAAGUACAUAAUUUUAUUCUAUUAUAUACUGAUCUAUGAUUUAUAAUGAAGUCUUUACAACAAGAUUUCAUAUGGUUAUAUUUCUUUUAAAAUAUAUUCUUUUAUUUUUUUUGCAAUGAAUCUUUUCGGUGUUGGAUAUAAUGUUAUUUGAAUGGUUCAAUUAGUAUUUUAUGACGUUUCACUAGGUUUUUUUUGGCAUUAUUUCAUGCUCUUAUCUUUGAUUUCUUACAAAUAUACUGAUGUUUCAUUGGUGGAGGUCUUGAGGACUAAAUGGUUCAAUUUAUAAUCUAAUUGUGUUUCAAUAUUUUAAUAUAUUCAAACGUUUUUUUAUAUAGUGGUGAAAUAUUUUUCUAUUAGCGGCGAAACAUCAAAGAUCGAUGUUUUAUCUUUGAAAAACGAACGUUUUAUACUGUCAAGCAAAAAGGCUUCAAAUUGUGAUUUAAAUGUGUUUCAUUAUUUUAAUAGUUGAAAUAUUUUUCAGUGAGCAAUGAAAUAACAAUGCGAUAAAAUGCCGCCUCAUUUUUUGCAAACAAUCAGAUGCCUGUUGUACUUGGAUCCAAAACAUUCCCUUGCAGACUUACUCCUAUUCCUAUAGACCCUGUUGGAUCAUUGCAAGUCUGCUUUGCAAUGCACAAAUAUAGUGCUUAACGAUGAAGUACAUACUUUCUGCAAAAAAAAAAACGAUGAAGUACAUACAGCACACUUCCAAAAAAAAGAGCCAAAAAGAGUGAUGUGGUCAUCGUUUUGCUUUUCGAGUAAAAAAAGGAAACAAUAUAUUUUACAAACCGAAAAUAAUUUGUGAAUAAAAUUUUUAUACACAUGUUCUUGACGAUAUAAAAGCAAAGGCUAAAAAAUAAACUAUAAAGAAAAACCUUAAAAUUAACUUUAAAUUUAAGAUUAAAAAUUUAAAAUUUAGCUUAUAAACAUAAAAAAACAAAAAUACGAGGCCGUGAGUAAGUAUAGUCAUUCAGUCACAAGUGAUCACUGUCACUCCACUUCAAUCAACUCAAGCAAGAGUACUCCCUAGCUACAUGAUAGCCAUCUCAUCAGCUCGAUCAGCCGCUAUACCAAGAUUUGAUCAUGGCGCAGGACCAAGAAGAAGAAGAAAGAGAGUUCAGAGAACAAUGCGGUGAGAAGCUUUCGCUUUUGAGGACCAGCGAAAGACCUUGGGAGGGAGGGCUUGAACUAGGACCUACACCUACAGAUGUCGUAGUACUGAUAUAGAGAAUAUACAGAUGAUGGCGAAGCCCAUGAGGAGGACGAGGAAAUAAACCCCUGGAUGGGUGAUCUCAGGCGGCGACGGCGGCGGCGGUUGUACGAACAGCGGCGGCGGUCGUACGGUCAUCGACGGCUCCUGGCGAUCUGACAAACGCAGAAUGCGAUCCAUGAACAGGUCAGUCACAGGGUAGCAUUGGGAAGGAAGAUUGAGAGGAGGGCAAACACUACAUCUAUUUCAGAAAUUAAUGCAUGAUAAAUAUGUUCAUCUAACGUACCUCCAACAUAACUCGUAACACUAACACGUACCUCCAACAUUACUCGCACCGAUAGCAAAUAGCCCGGCCAAAAUGCCGCCGCCGAUGACCCAUCUAUUCAUCCAUAAUCCGCUGCCGCCGGCAAUCUCUCCAUUGUACCGCGAGACCAAGCCAUCGAAAUCAUGCAGCUGCUCCAAUUUGAGAGCAGCCGCGUCGAUGCUGGAGAGAAAAGUAUAUGCCCCUGCAAAGAAAGAUCAAUGGAGAUGCAUAUUGAGAUCGAAUUCAGACCACAGCUAACCGAAAAUUCACAAAUUAGUAUAAACAUACUAGAAAGCGCAGGAAGGCAGAGAAUAACGACCCCUGCAGCAACAACUCCAAGAACCAAAAUGUGGCGCCGAGCAAUGGCUAGGGGCUGGACCGUGCUGGACCGUGCGGCGGGCGAGGUCUGGGUGAAGAUCUCCCUCAAGCCGGAGAGGUGUAGCUUGCCGGAGCACGGAGGGCUAGCUGAGGAGAGGAGAGGCCCCAAGUCGCCGGUGCGGGGGAUCUGAGGUCGCAAGUAUGGCAGAGUACCUGAAAGAAACCCUCCCGACGUGCGGCCUUCUGACGGGGGACGGAGGAGAUCGUCGUUGUGCAUAGGUUGAUGACGUGACUCAAGGGGAUUAGGCUGCAGAAUGCAGACGAAUGAAAACCAUUAGAGGAUGCAGAACAUAGGUGCCAAGAACUGACAGCUGAAAGAGUUGCACAUUCCUGACAGUGAGAAACUCUUAAAACUUGUAAGAACACCCAAACAUGGUAUAAUUUCAUGGAAAUUCUCAGUUAACUUCUAACAGAUAGUGCCAACCUUAUCUAUUGAGAUUAGAACCAAUGCAGUGAUCAAAGUAACAAGAGUUUUAGUGCAAAAGACAACUUGAGCUAACAAAUUUCACGCGAAAAUUGAGAGAAAAAUCAGUCCACAUUCCAUAUUUGACACAGUUCUCAUUGUGUGGUAUCCAAUUCCCAGAUCCUUACAUCUUUUGCAAUAAGCAAUAUCCACACAGACAUUGAAAACUUAGUGUGUGCAGAAACAUAGACAUGAUACAAGAUUUGAAUGGAUAUUCACCAUAAGAUUUACAGUAGAGUAGAUUGAUCUUAGUAUGGAAGUGUGGGAUGUGUAUAUUGGAAUUUUUUUCUUUUUUAAUGGUCACUGGGGGAGGGGGGGGGUGGAGAGUUUCCCCACCCUGAAUUGUAUUAGAAUAAAAAGAUCGCCGCGAUUACCACCAGAGACACAAGUGGAAUGGAAAAGAAGGCAGUAGAGAAAAACAGAAGGGACAAAGAAGAAGAAAUACAUUGGAUAAUUUAAUCGACUACUUGAAGCAAGUAGUUGUUCACUUGUGGUUCUGACCAACUCGAACUAUAAUAGAGCAUCCGGAAAAUGCCAACUUAGUAAUAUUCCAUGUUAUAUGGUUUUGUAAAAGGUUACUAAUGAAGAAAAUUUUGCUAGGUGUGGAGAGUGGAGAUUCAUGUGACCGGCAGGUAGACAUUUGUUGACAUACAUGUAAGGAAAGGUGGUAUAGAGGAAUAAAAACGGUAUGGUUUAACUGUCAUGCCAGUCAUGCACACCUGUAUGACAAUCAAGUGAAUGGUAUUCAUAACAGAAUCACACGAAAACUGGGUCUAGUUUUUUUUGUCACCGCCAUGAAUGUUUAUUGAGUGAUAUAUCACAUAUUAAUCUAUUUUGACACAUUCUUUCCAUGUUUUUGUAACUAUUUAGAUGGCAUGAAAGAGACGGGGGAUAUCCCCUCGAGAGUUUAAAAUCCAUUCCAUUAAUAGUAUUAGUCAGAAGAAAUGGUUUUCAGGCCCAAGAACCAAAUCCAAAUUCAAAUAGUUUUUCUGUCACCAUUAUGCAAAAUUCUCUUAGUAUAUGUAUUUCUGUGAGUAUUAGUCCAAACAAGUGGUUUUCAUGCCUAAUAAUCCAAAUCUAAAACUGAACCUCCAUAGUGAUUCUCCAUGUUUCUCCCAUAUUGCACAAUGACCAAGUAGCUAUAUGUCCUUAGGCUAGAGCUCAAAGUGACAGAACAGAAGUUAUACGACUUGCCCAUAACUAAAAAAGGGAAAAGUUAAAUGUAAUGUACCAUUGCAUGGGCCAUAUCCAGAUGAGCAUAGGGUGUCGCAUAAUCUGUCGGAGGCGUUGCUACCAUUGUCUGGCUACCUGUACUAGUAGCCGAGGUUUCUUGCUGGUCCUCAGGUUCAACUUGCCUCUGCUGUUUUUGUCGCCCAUCAGCUCCAUGGUUGUCUGCAAGGGAAAGCAAACAUGUACCAAGUGAUGUUACAUCAAUAUUUCAGCAAUUCCCUUUUACAUGUCUGAUUGAUCAAAAUAUUGCAGAGUGUAUGUCAACGCUUACUGGAUGAACACCUAAUAUUUCCGUAAUCUGAUCAGCUAAAAAGUUGUGGCAUGGCAGGCUGCGGUUGAUGUUUGUCAAUACUAAUGGCAGGUGCAUCCCAGCGUGGGUACAAAAUUACCCUCUAUACCUGGUAUUUCCUAAUACUAAUUCAUGGCACAAAUGUCACUGUUUGCUUGGGCUAAUCCAUAACCGUAAUGCGUGCACAAUACACACAUAAUGGAGUCUACAGUGCAUCUAUCAUUAUUAUGAUUAUAUUCAUAACAGAAAACUACCCCACCAUUUAAACAUCAGUAAUAUAUAGGGAAACAUUAGAUGGAACAGGCAUACCUGAAACAUCAUGGAAUAGAGAAGACAUGGCUUGUUCUUUUUGCAGAGUGAAGCAGAAUCAGGAUUGUAGUUAGUCAGAGGAAACAAAUGUCAACCACCCAGCUUCCGAUGUGCUUCAAGCACACCACACUUCCUGCAAAUCAACAAAAUUGAAGCUUUCCGUGAUCGCCUAAGCACAACAAAAUCAGAAUUUACAACAAAGAGGAGUAGUUUUCAAGAAAGGUAGGGGACUAAUACACAUGUAAAUCUAGGUCUGGUACAUAACACCUCAAGAAGAGAAAAACGAAAAUAUAUAAGGCGACAAAAUCUACAGACUGAAUUAAUGUCUAUUUGUUGAUGGAACCAUCAAGUAGCAGGCCAAGAUUCUCUAACUGGUGUGAAAAUUGUCAAAACGAAGACCAGAUACAUAUUUAUCAAGAAAAGAUUUAUCAAGAAAGGAUUAUCCGAUUAUGGAGUGGUAUCUUUAACCUCCAUGCCUCCCUCACGCCUCAGUAGCCACACAACCAACUACCUCCGCGAGAGCAUCACGCACGAACAGCACGGAACCCGCCACCGGAUUCUACCCGGCGGCGACGACCCCCGCGCACGAACUUCAGCGGCCGGAAUCAAGAAGCGGGGGGAAAUAAACAAGCACGCGCCCGCAACAGGAAGAGGAAAGCCUCCCUCCCUCCCUCCGGCUGAUUGCGCAAACCAUGCAGAAUAGAAGAGAAGAGCGUCGGCGAGGGAGAAGCUGGGAGAGCGCGGGCAUAUGGACUCACUGGGGACAAUCCAGAAGGGCGGAUGCUCGGGAGGAAGAGAGGGGACGGCGACAGCAACGGCGACGGCGACGAGGGAGAGGCGAGGCGAGGCGAGGCGAGGAGGAAAUGACGCGAGGAAGGAAAUUUCCUUCGGGAGAAGGUGAAACCCGAGGAGCGCGUGAUCUGGGCCGUCGGUUCGAUGGACCGGGAGGACGGACGGCCGGGAUGCGGCCCACGCGCCGCGCGUGGCUGCCGAGGUGGUUCAAAAAGGCUAAUUAGCGAGCGCUCGCGCGGAUGGGUCCUGCGCGAACAGGCUCAAAACAGGUAUUUUUUUUACUUUAUGUAUAUUUUUUUAUUUUAUGUGUAUAAAGUUUAUACGUAUAAAUUUAUACAUAUAAAUACAAAUAUUAUAUAUACACAAGAUAUUAUAGAUAUAAAUUUUUAUAUGUAUUAAGUUUAUAUCUAUAAUAUCUUGUGUAUAUAUAAUAUUUGUAUUUAUUAGAUUUUUAAUAUUGAAAAAGCUUGUAUGUAUAAAGAUAUUAAGUUUCUAUAUCUAUACUAAUAUAAAAGUAGGCGUUGUAAUUUUUUUAUAUCCACACCAACAAAUAUACACACGAUUUACUCGGUCCAUUUUCCACCACUGUUAGAUGUACGUAUCCAAUGAUCCAGAACGAUCUGAAACAAUUCUCUCUUGCAAACCUAGAUAGGACACAUCCCCUAACUUCUCCACUAAAAUCGCCCCUGACUUUCCAAAAUCGCCCCUGACUCCUUCACCAAAAUCGCCCCUGACUUUCCAAAAUCACAACGUUCUCCCGAACGCCAGCAAGCCGCCACCGCGCCCGCGCCCGCUCUCCCGGUCGAACGCCACCGCGCCCGCUCUCCCGGUCGGCCCCGGUACCGCCGCCUGCCUCCCAUCGAUCGCCGACUGCCCCCAACCUCCGACCGGUCAAAGCCCACCUUUUUUUCAUAAAGCCAUUCACGUGUAUUAAAAUACAAUAAGCUUUGUACUUAAUUGUUCAAAGAUAUGGAUUUUUCUUGUGCUAUUUUGUUAUAUUUCUAUUUGUCCAGAUGCAUCUUUGGUGCACUUUCAGUAUGGCUAUGUUUUUUUAUACUAAUACAAGUUAUACUUGAUAUACUUUUUUCUACUACAUUUUGGUAUUAAUUAAGGAGCAUUAUUUAUAAAAAUAUGAAAAAACUAAUAUUUUUUAAUCCAUGCUAACCGUAAGUUUUCAACAACUUGAUUAAUACCGACAAAUGAAAAGCUGUAGGCUCUCUGUUUCUUCUUCUCACAGAGAUCAAUUGAUUUUUUUUCUUGGCGGUACAACAACAAAAUAAAAAAUUGGUCGAUGCAGAAGAGCUAACGAAACAGUUACGACCAAAGGUGGGUAGACAAAGAAAGAGUUUGUUUAGUACCUUGGUAUAAUUAUAAAAUUAUAAUUGUUUUAUACUGCAUUAGUAACGUAUGUAUAUAUUUAUUUUAUGUAAUACUACAAUAUAUAUACAAUAUAUAUAGCAAGUUCGUAUACCUGAAAUGUUUAAAGAUAAAUACUAUGAAACGUAUUGCACGUGCGCGAGUACUGCUAUAUGCCUAAAGUGGUUGCCCCUUCUCUCUCCCCGUCCGCCUCACGUCCCUGCUACGUCAUCCUCCUCUUGACUGACGUCCCUACGUGACACUGCAGUCAAUACUUGUAUAUUUGUCACGAUAUAUCUUUAUGUUUUAGUUUUGAUAUAAUAUUUGACUCUUCAUCUUAUUUAAUUUUUUUAUAAUUAAUAUUUUUAUUGUUAUUAGAUGAUAAAAGAUAAAUAUUAUUUUACGCAUGACUAUUUUUUUUAGUUUUUCUUAUAUAUUUUUUAAGUAAGACGGAUGGUCAAACACUGGACACUCAAACCAAAAAAUAAAAAACAUGGAUUGGGGUAGUAUUACUUUACAAGACAUUUGAUAGAGUUGUUUCUACUUCAUCUACUUUGGUAAUUCCUAUCGGCAAACAAACAUCACAUUCACAGUUUUCGUGUUAGUUUUGUCUUGUCAGCCAAAUAUUUUUAAUAAAUGAUUUUAUUACUAAACCUCGAAAAUAAUAUUUUCACCAUAUGAAACUUUUGACCACGCCAUUAACACUGGCGUAGCAAGACAACAAUACCACACAAGCUGGUUGGUACGGCUGACGUGACAAUAUUACCUUGCCACGUUAAUAUUGGUAGUGUGACCAAAAAGUUAAUACGGUGAAAAUAUUUUUCCUCGAAGCUCAAUAAUGAAAUUAUUUAUUAAGAAUGUUUGAAAAAUAAAAAAAAUCGGCUACGCAACGCUCGGUCUCUUUUCAUGCAUUGAAUUACAAGUAAAAGGAAUUAAGUUUGCCCUACUGUAAGAGGCUGAAAGGGGAUGAAAUGGCCGACAAUGUUGUGCAAGGUUUCAUCGAUACAUUUAGCACAACAUAUCCAUUGAAAAAUCCUUUUGAAGAUGCGCAAGCUAUAAGCCAGAUAAACACACAUGAACUAAGCACGAAGGUGACGUAUAUAAAUGCUUGGAACCGGUAGAGAAAAGAAGGCAAAGCAAAAGGCAACACUUAGGUAUCAAGUCAUAUUUUUAGAUUGGAACCAGAAAUGUCGACAAUAUGAUUUUCAAAAGUAUUUGCAUUCACCUAGGGGGUGUUGUAAGGUACUCCAACUGGUAUGGAUUGUCCAAAAUGGUUAGAUCUAUUCCACUCGCCAUGCAGAUUCACCGGUAUAUUUCCAUUAUAAUUCAUGUAUAUCAUUUGCAGCCCCAACAAAAGGAAAUGUAAUUCAUGUAUAUCAUUUGCAACCCUAACAAAAAGAAAGGUAACAAUGAUUACCUAGGAAGCCUAAGAAGUAUUACUAUCACAUUAUGAAGUGUAAUAGUGUAGCAAGCACCUUUGAGACAACAUAAGAAAGUGCAAGCAAUACAUGGUGCAAGAAGAUAGGCCCAUACAAGAAUCACAUUUCUUGAUAUGGCAAUCAGCUUGAAAAUUAUGUCGGAUCCUGACAGGCAAUACGACGUAGAAGCCUUGGAAAAAAUGUUUCAAUAAUAUUGCUGGGUACAAUGUACGUAAGAUUUAAAUAUAGCAAUAUAUUUAAAUAUUUUCAACGGUUGCCUCCAAACUCUAUACGAGGGUAAAAUGAUUACUGUCGAUAGCUAGACGAGUGAAAGUAUUAACAAAUUUGUGUCACUCCCUCUUAGCGUUUGAGAUGGUAGUUCUUUAUUUGUUCUCAUUCUGGUAUGAAUUGGCUGGUCCUCUAUAAAACUUUGAAACUUGAACUCUAUCUUGAGUUGUUAGUUUGGGUUUUAGCUGAUUGGGACAAGAGAAUCUUAGAGUGGUUAGUUUGGGUUAAUUAUGAACCUUCGACUAGACAUUGUUUAAUUAUCUGGCCCCAGCGCAAUAAAUCAGUUUAUUGGGGCCCACCAUACUAAAAACCUGGUCAACGCCAUGGCCCAUCAGGAGAAGAAUUGAAUAUAGUCAACCCCUCGGCCCAUUAACGGGCUAUCAAGCCAAAAUUCAAUAAUCGUCAGGUCCAGUAUCUUUCGAUGCGAAUUCAUUUUAACCACUCAAUUCAAUACUAUACUUGUCUAUAUAUAGAGUAUUUUAUUAAAUUAAACCUAGGAAUUAAUGACAAUGAACAAAGAAGCUAACAGUAUGUUGCCUAUAUAUACGUCAACUAAUUAACAAUUCAUAAGACGAAAUUAAUUAAACACAGCAGCAGAGCAGCUAGUGAACUUUCUUUAGUUGCCGGCGCCGCCGUCCGCCGGCUUGCUGCCGCCUUCCUCCACCCUGCCGGCGGCGGCCUCGGCGGCGAGCGCCUUGGCCGUGUCGUAGGAGGCGAGCAGCGCCGCCGUCCAUAUCCCGAACCGCAUGAACGACAUUCGGCUAAUAGGUUUUUUUAAGCUCUUUACAGGGUAGGUUUAAGUUUAAUAUCUUUGCCGAAUAGGUUUAACCCCUCUCGUAACAUUCGAGAAGGGGAGAGUAGCAAAUAUGUUGCCAGUUGAAUUUUCCACCGGCCGUUUUCUAAUCGACAUUCCAACUCAAUAUGCUACAUAUUGAGAGUCACGUACAAAAAAAAAAGAUAAUACUAAAUCCAUAUCAACAAACUUGUCAGGAUAUUAUGAUGAAGAAACAAACUAUCAAAUUUGUAAAGCACCAAAAAGACCUUCACAACUAAAGUGAUAUUUACUAACUCUACUAAUUAAUGGCCUAAAGGCAAUGCAUGUGAGAGAUAUCACGUUCCAAAAAAGGCCUUAAUUAAUUCAUUAAUCACCUUUAUCAUGAAUCUAGACGUAUCUAACUGUAUCAUAUUAGAUCCUAAUCCAAGGCUUAAUUAUCUCAAAAUGGUGGUGUCAUGCAUACAUCAUGAAUCAUGCAUGUGAGAGAUCAAUGCAGGUUGGACUGGGAGUACCGGCGACGGGGAUCUCGAUGGCGAACUCGGUGUAGCAGAAGACGGCGUAGAAGAGCACGACGGCGGGGCCGGCGGCCUCCUUGGCCUCCUUACCCGUGAGCACGAAGAUGCCGGCGCCGACGCCGAACCAGAUGAGGUCCCACCACGUCAGCGUCCGCCUCAUUUUGGCGCCGCUCCAGCCGCGCACCUCGUGGAGCUCCACGGCGUCGGCCGACCUCGCCGUCACCCGGUCCCGCAGCCGCGGCCCCGUCUCCAUCAGCGCCCGCCCGUACGCGCCCCAGCUCGCGAACGACUCCUCCGGGAAGAACGCGCCGCCGCCGCAGCACCCUCGCCGCCGCACUUCGCCGUCCGCCGCCAUGGUCGCGGAGGGGGGUGGAAUCGACGCCGGCCGCCGGGGAAGGAAGGUAGCUAGGUUUUACCCGGCGAAGGGGGCUACGUGUGCCGUAUAUAUAGCAGGGUAGGAGUCGCCAAGCGGGGAUCUCAGCCGUACGAUUGACAUCCGACGGUUGGGAUCUGCACCUGCCUGAUUCUGAACUGAUUUGUUUCCAUUUUUGAUCCGCAUACAUUCCCUGGGCCCACCAUAGCAGAUUCUGAACUGAUUUGUUUCUUUUUUUUUAUCUGAUUUGUUAUUUUUUUGAUCUUUUUGAACCGAUUUGUUUCCAUUAUUUGUUUGUUAUAUGCAUUUCGAGGGAAAUACAGGUAGGAGUAUAGAUAAUUAAAUAUUUCAGUUGUUGCUACAAAGGCGUGCAUGUGGACAAGCCACACGGCCCUGCUCUAUUUGAAAAAAAAAAAGGGGAUUUUUUGAAGUGAAGAUAUAGCUAAUAGCUCCAUGGCUUAUAAACAUAAGCAACUUUUUAUAUUUUAAAACAUAAUUUUGAGGUUGGUUUUAGAGAUUUUUAAUCGUAGUUCAUUUCCAGCAUUUACUUUCUAAGGACAUCUAUACCUCCAAAUUAUAUUUUUAUCGUUAAUAAGCCGUUAUGGGCCUGUAAUAAGUAUAAGCGGAACAGGUAUAUAUUUGAAAAGCUGAAUUUUGCUCAUAUAAUAUACGAGUAUGUCACUGGAACGUUUCAGUGAUACAGGAAUCGGCCGGAGAAACCAAGCCAUCACACGGACGAUUACAUCAGUUACAUGUCUCGCUACACUAUACAAGCAAUUGGUAAUGUGCAGCUUACUUUGUUCCUUUUCUUUUCGACUAUCUUACAUCUCCACAAAACAAAAGCACAAAGGGCAGGUUUUGAUUGGAGCCAAUUUUAUACCCUAUCAAAUUUGCUAGAGCCAAAACAAAAAUAUUGAUAAAGGCAAAAACUACCUAAAAAUUUGCUGUAAUGUUGAAUUUCAUAUCAAUGUCUAGCAAUUACUCAUACUUACAUCUUUCUCUUGUUGAAGAAAAAAGAAGAGGAAUCUAGCUACCGAAUAAGCAUUGACCUAACUAUCAUCCACAGAGCUUUUGAAGGAAAAAAGAUAUACUUAUAAGCACGUAAUAAUGAAAUAUGAAGGCCUGACAAAACUUUUGAAGGAAAAAAAAGAUAGAAAUAUAAGCACGUAAUAAUGAAAUAUGACGGCCUGCCGGAUUCGAACCGGCCACCAAAAAGGCUAUCCUUUGUAUGCUCUUCCGACCGAGCACAAGGCCGUUCAAACUUUUAGUUCUCUUUUCUAAUUUAUAACAAGCUUUUAAACAUGGAGAGCUUUUAAACAUGGAGAAUUCCUAGUUGAAAAGGAGUUGGUCUAUCUUACAGCAUUGAAAAUUAUUUUGCCAGGGCAAUUAAACACCUUAACUGUUGUUUGACUCACACUGCCAUUGAUCGAACUACUGAAAAAAGCCAAGUGACAUUUCUCUUCAUACAAAACAUAUUUUGAAUUUAAAUAGCCCACUCCAAAAACUACUAGUAGUACGCUAAAGUUUAUUUGGGCUCAGUGUUCAUUCUUAUGUCAACAGUUGUUGGGCCAGGAGGACAGGGUCGUAACUGUGUCAAUAAUACGUUAAAAUGUCCCCCAAGUUGCUUUGUGAUUGAUUACUCUGGCGGUCAUGAAGCUUCCGGAUGAAAUCCUUUUCACUCCUCUCUCAACGGCUAAAGUUUUCCACAGUGAAAAAAACUCUGUAAUUGUAAGAUCUAGAACGAACAUCAACUAAUUUUGGGGGCCAGCAUUGUUGUUCGCGGCCUCUAGUUAGCAUUACGAAGCUGAUCACGGACGCCGCAUCAUGGGCUAACGAUAUAUAUGAACUGGAAAAAUAUAAUUUCUAACUAAUUAGCAUAUCUAUCUGCCGGUUGACAUAAUGGCAAAAUGCAGGACAAAUGGCUUUGGUUGUUAGGUUGCUUUUGCACCGUUAUUAACUUGUAAUAAGAUAGAUGGAUUGAUUGUUAGUUUGCUUUUGCACCAUAGUUAACUUGUAGUCAUGGACGCCUGCACAAAGUACAUAUUAAGCUGGUAAAAUAAAUUUAAAUGCUUACAGUUGUGAUAUCAGAAAUUAAUUCAUGCACGUCUGUACCCGGGCAUGAUGACCUGCCAAUGGUAAUUCUGUGGCUGUUAAUGCAUGAGCAGUCCAAAUCAGCAGACAUGGCCCGUAAUUAAACUGUUAAUAAGCAAGAGAUGGAACACAUACCACAUGAUUCGGUUGUUUGGUGGACGAAAUACAUAGGCAUACACCACGGAUGAGAGUUAAUAUGUAUCCAUAUACCUGCAACAACAGUAGGUCCAUGAACAUUGGCUCACACAAAAAGGACAUUUUGCACAACAGUGCUGUAAAAACAGUUCGAUUGAGUGAUUUAGCUUAAAAAAUAUGGAUGAAAUGGUUCCCACAAGAAUCAACUAGUUGCAAGUACUACAUUCCCUGCUGAAACCCAACACAUUUUGUACUGUAUGAAUAAAGCUAAAACAAACAGCAGCCCAAAUUGCACUCAUGUUUUGAGUCUUGAUGUUGACACAGGCAGAAGAGGCCCAUAAGGUAGAUCAGGAAAUUUCUUAUGUGGAAACGAGAAGACUAAUCCGGUCGCUAUGUAUUCACACAAUGGCAAGGCAUCAGAGUGACUUGCUUCAGUGCAAACAUCAUACAUCUCAAAAGGUAAAGACACAUGUCAUUAUUAUUUUAUUGGGUUUAUCUUAACUUUACAGCUAAUGAGUUGCUUGAAAUUAAAAAAAAAAAACUGAAUAACCAGGGGUUCAUUCCAAUGUACCCCCAAGUAAGAAAUCGCCAGGUAAAUUCUAUAUCCUCAAUCCAGUCGAUGUAAUAAUUUUGUUGGCCUGUACAACAAGGGGCAGUAUUAACCUUGUCAGCCUGUAAACAUGAACCUCGUUCAGCAGAAACACUAAGGCAACCAAUGGUCCAUCAACCCACACUUAAAGCGCUUGUACCUUCCUCUGUAUGACCUGAAUUAGUCCAUCUAGCCUAAAUAAAUAACGUGUUUUGAUUCUUCUGCACUAGAAGGUUCUGCAGCUUGUAAUCUUGCAGUACAGUUUGUUCCACGACCCCAUACCUUGAUAUAUAAUCACAAUCCUGAGAAAUGGACAAAAUAAAGAAUAAAAACCCCAAUCUCCAAUAAGUCAUUUUAAAGACAACAAACUAUAUAGUUUUAGAAUUUAAACAGCAUCAAAGGAUGACCAGAAGAUCAGAUAUAAUAGCAAACAAUACAUUACACUCGUAGUCCUCAAAUGUAGAUGGAACUGGAAGUACCAAAAUACAGUUUGUGCGGCUAUAUCCACUACCCAUGAUUACGAUAAUAAGUUUAACCGUGAGUGCAACAGCUCGGUUCUGAAAUACCAUCAUAUAUUAAACCCUGGAAUAACACUUCUCCAUGCCUGAGUGAUCAAAUUCACUAUAUUGGAUAUUAAUUUUUAGAGUAAAUUUCACAAGACCACACAUAUUAUGGUCUCACAAAACCACGGGGGUUUUAGCAUAUGCCACAACCCCUGGUAUUAUGGUACAAGAGAUUCACAAAACCACACUACUAACCAACUAGCUUGGUAAUAUAGCAAAAUAAAAUUAUAAUAUUAUGUGGUUAUAACUUGUAUAUGAGGUGUCAAAGAACUUAUAUAAAUCUGAUAAAUUUGGCAUGUAAUUCUAUAACUCAUAUUUGGUAAAAAGUAUGGGUUUAUUAAACUAUAUGAGCAUAAUACAUGCAGUUUUGUGAAAUUUACUCUAAUCUUUAUAAUCAGCUUUCUUCAGUUAAAUGAAUUUGGAUAAAUUGGGAUGGAAAUGCAAUAAACAAUGACCAUCAGUAUUUUUCUCUUUUGGUGCAUAACUAUUAGCAUAUGAACUGCAGAUUGCACAUGUACCUGUCAGUAAAUCCCAGAACAACAUAUUUCGGCAGCAAACUUCUGCCCAGUAACAUCUUCAAGCAGGUAUCACACAUACAUACCACGCUAGCACCCAAUUGCAGUUCCCUCCUGCAAAAGAGAACAGGUGAUCAGAAUACACUGUAGGAGUUAAACAAAUUUUGGCCCAUCUAAAUUCCAGCUCCAUGGGAAAAUUGACAUAUGUUGUUGUUGGCAAAAUUUUUGCCUACUGGAAAACUGAAACAGUAGAUUUAACUGAUCAAACUCUUACAAUUUCCAACACAAGUUUUAAGCUCAGAUCAAGAGAGAUGGACAAGCAUAUGACAAUGAAUGGUUUGUAUGCUAAUCUAUGACUAUGAACUUUACAUUGCAAAUAAUCAACUGUAACAAUUACCUGAAUGAUAUACUUCCUAAUUCAUUGAUCCACGGCACCUAAACAACCAGAAAAUAGCUAGCAAGAAGAGGUGAAUAAUAAAUACUAUAUUAAUAAUAGCACAAAAGAAUUGCAUCCGAUGAACAAGAAAAUGUGAUAUAUGCAACUUAAAAGAUUGAAAAUACUGUGUUAUUAUGGUAACAAUUUAGGCUAUGCCAGACCAUAAUUUACAAGAUAAUAAAUGGCAAACAAAAAACUUGCAAACUUGGCAACAGCAUUUACAAACUCAUCCCAGACAUAUAUAACAGUAUGCUGUUAGCAAAAUCUACGAUAAAAAAAUAGUCAGCUAAUUUAACAAAUACGGAUUUCAUAUGUAUGUAUACCAUAGAAACAUUUUAUUAGAUUGCAUGGAACAGACGUCACUGAAACGAAAACAUCUCCUGUUACUAGCUCUAGGAGAGUUACCUCUGGGAACCGCAGUGGCAUGGGAUCUUCUUUUCCUCCAGUGGAAAUUUAUAAUUAUAAGUCAAUUCCUCGCCAGCAUAUAUACGCCUCUUUGCAUAAAUGAAAAUCUUCUUCUGGCCCUCGACAGUAAUUACUUUUGUAUAGAAAUUUGGCUGGUGUGGAAAAAACAAGACACUAUUUAACAUGGGGUAAAAAAACAGUUAACAGUUUCAUGUUAAACAGCUUACAUCGCAAGAAUGGUUGAUGAAUCUUGCUAGCCCACCACGCUUAGUAGCAUCAACCUUCAUAAAUUAAGAAUGUAGGCACAAUUAAUACAGAAGAGCACAUGGUGCAUUCAUAAAAUAUGAUUGAUAUAAACCAUAGUAUCUAGCACAGGUUGAGGUUACAAAGCUGCACAACUGUCCUGGCCAUACAUCAAAACAAACAAAACCAACUAAAAAAUUACAUUAUGCAUCAAAUUUAGAAUAACAAUAUCUAACUCUAUCGUUGUCUAGUAAGCAAAUAUAAAAAUAAAGUAACAAAGCAGCAUCGAAUAUUAGAUGGAUGUAACUGAAGAAAAUUGACUAAACCUACCACAUAUUCAUCGUCCAAACGGAAAAGGUAACUGCUUCCAAUUCCACUUUUCUCAUAUUGAGCCUCACGUAUGUCUGAAACCUGUAGGAUACAGUGAUCUAUAACAUGUUGCUCAAAAGCAGGUACAUCAAUAAAGGCAUAGUUGAGUCAUUAAGUCAUAAUACCUGUCGGCGAAUCAGCUGACCCACAUAUUCAAUUACAAAAUCUUCUGCGUCAAUAGAUUCAAGAGCCACCAGCCCCCCUUCAUGGAUCUUACUCGUCUGAAAACGCAAUCGCUUCUUCCUUGACUGUAUACCGAGAAAGGAACACAAAAUGGUCAUUCAAAUAUCAAAGAAUAGAAACAUUGGCACUUGACAAAAUAUACUUCUGUACCUUUGAUUGGGUAAUUUUUAGUAGGUCAGCGCCUUCAGCAGCCGCUAACAGGUUCCGUAGCUUAACUCGGUUUGUUCUUGCAGAUGCACCUUUAACUUGUGAACUUUUCAACACAUUGCUUUCUGGAGCUGACAGAAUACUCCUCACACGGUAGCCUCUCACUUGAGCUCUUUCUGAUGGAGUGGCAUUGCGUGCCCAAUCACGCCAUUCCCAUCCACUCACAGAAGCUCUUGCACAACCACAUGAUUCUGGAAAUAAAACCAAUGGUUUUUUCUUCAAGUUGCACUCAUUGGACAAGUUCUUCUGCUUUCUUUUCUUCGUGGGCGCUGUAGAUGUAUUUCUAUUCUCCAUAGGUGCUUCACGAGCAUAUGGUUUUGGACAUAAUACUAACGGUUUUGCCUUCAUGUUGGACUCACUGAGCAAGUUUUUCUUUCUUUUCUUUACAGGCAUUGUAGAUGUAGUUCUAUUCUCAAUAGGUGCCUCACAACCAUGUGAUUCUGGAGAUAAAAUCAAUGCUUUUGCCUUCAGAUUGGAUUCAAUGGGCAAGUUUUUUUGCUUUCUUUUCUUUCCAGGCAUUGUUGCUGUAGUUCUAUUCUCAGCAGGCACUUUGUUAUUAACAAAAGGCUUACUAGUUGGAUGGGAAGACCUGCUCCCGGGCAAUGAAAGAUGAAUGCAAUAACUCUGUGAAAAUGUAUAUUAAGAUGGAGACAGGGGAAUGAGGAUUAAAUGACUCACUCUUUGGAACCUUGUUAGAAAGGAGUUUCAAGUCCUGCUGGAUACUCAAAUUAAUAUCAUUGUUAUGUAAAGGUUUGGCACGCUUUUUAGAGGGCUUAUCCACAACAGAAACUCUCUGUGAAAUCCCUGCCUUGCUUGAUCCAUGGAUAUUUUUCAUAUUACCCUUGCGUUCAACGAGAUCACAUAGAGGUCUGGAGAGUUGAUCAUCCAUUGGUUUUUCAGAUGAUGCUGCUUCACAGUUUUUCCUGAAUUUCCUCUUCCUGUAGUAAGUAUAAUGUUUGGGUCUCGAUGUUUCAUCCAUGGUUUUACUCACAGUAUUUUUCCUGGUGUACCAUGAAUCAAGACAAUUGUUAAGAGCAACUGAGAAGAGCGAUGCCCAAUCUUUCAUUACACUGUCAUGCAGUAAUUGCCUGAAGAGAGCCCAAUUAGUAUAUCUAUAAAUUUCCGGCACUGAGCCUACUGAUUUUGAGGGCUGGUAUUUGUUUUUGUCCAUAAUAACAAGUGAAGCUAAGCCAGUCUCUGUUCCAGGAGGCACCUCAUCAAAACUCUCAUCCAAUACAGCUUCAUCAUGUACAUCCAGCUUUUCAAAUAUACUUGCAUAAGAUGCAGAGCACAAUUGAUUUCCCACUGCAUCCAAAUUAUGAAAUUAGAAUAAUUUAAUGCUGCUCAGGUAAGACAAUGCAACAGAGGAUGUUAUUUAUUUACCAUAAGAAAUGAUCAUUUCAUCUCCUGUCACUUCAGGGACAGCAGAUGUUCCAGAUGCCGUAGUAUCAGCAGGGCAGGGUAGUGUAUCUACAGCCAUUUCAGCCGUAUCCAACAUUUCAUCUCGAGCCAUUUGAGCAGGACUAUCUUGAGCCAUUUCAGCAGGAAAGGGUGUUUCAUGCCCAGAUAUUCCAGGACUGGAUGGUUCUGGUGCAUGAACAGGGGUGCAAAUUAUUUCCUGCAACACAACAUUUAGAUGUAAAAAUCAUGCAAAUUCUGAAAUAUCAACAGCUAUCAAGAAAAAUAGUUAUUGCUGUCAUCUCACUUGAUUAAUGUCAUCUUCAAGUCCAAAGCACAAAUAGUUUGUUAUCUCCUCUGCAAUGACCUCCCUGAAAUGUUGGAACAAAGUUUCCUUUGCCGCCACAUAUAGUUCAUUUGCCAGCAUUACCUGGACUCGUCUCAACGGGCCAGAAAACAAUGUGGAACUUGAUUCAGACUUCCCACUUGUUUUGUCAGUACCAUGUUCAACACCAAACAAGAACACCGAAUGGGAAUGCUCAGUAGACUCCCGGUUUGGUCCAAAUCCUGGUGGGAAAUCCAUGUCGCCAUCAGGAGCAUCUGAAUCACAAAUUGCCUGCAAAUCAUGAACUGUCAUUAAAUCAUAAACGAGAGAAGGAUUUACACCUUACUACCUCCGUCUGGAGGUACUAAAUGUUAAUCCCAUAUUUCAAAGAAAGAAUGUGUUUAGUCCUACUGGAGGAACCUUUGGUGGCAUUUCAUCUGUGGCUUGCAUCUUUUGGUUAUUAGAGGUUCCAAGAACAACUGUAGAGAGAAGGUUUGACUCAUUUUUCCUUUUUAGCCAUGCAUCACAGUAGUCCAUGACAGGAUCGUACAGUACUUCAUCCCAGAUACUCUUCAUUGAUUCAUUAUAAAUUGCUGUCCAUACUGCCGAUAAUAUAUCAGCAAAUUCAUAUUGUAAUGCAGUUGAUUGAGCAGCCACAGAAGGAUCUCCUAGUACUUUAUUAAAUGAGUUUAGUUUUUUUGGAUGAGUAGAUGUUCCAUCACCCUUGCCCAUCAGUACCAAAGCAUUCUUGUUGCUCACAUUGUCAGUCUGGAAAAAUAAAACCAUGUUGGACAGGAUUAUAAUCUGAAAAUGGAUAGGUAAUACAAAAAAGUUCAUGUCCCAUAAAACAUGGCAAAUAGAACACACCUUAGCAGCUUGGCUCUUAAGUUUUGCAGCCAUUUGCUUCUCAGUUUUCCUGCAAGCAAUAAUUUCAGGAAGUACGCUGCUAAAUAUUUCAUCAAUAAAAACUUUGCGGGUUGAUUUCAUUAUUCCAGCAUGCAGCUGAUGGCUUAUAUCCUCAACUAUAUCACUCAUUAAAGCGUUCAGCGACCCAGAAUCAUUGGCUGCAGAUUCUGAACGUUCUGCACCUCCACUCCACCAAUCAAUUAGUGAAACAAGAGUAAAUGGGCCAAACUUGCUGUCGACAUGGUAAAUCUACAGUUAAAAAGAACUGUUAUUGUUCAGACUAUAUACUAGUGCAAACAAGAAUAAUUCAUAAAUGUAAAUGCGCUGUAAUUGGGGAAACUGCGUACAUAACACAUCAUAACUGAUCUGCCAUCUUGUUGCAUUAAGAUAGGUAUAACGAACUGAAGUUUCAUCAUAAAUCUUGGUCUUUUACCCAUAAGUUGAGUGAACAUGGACAUGCUAAUAGUUUACUGUUUUUUAUUCCAACUUAACUGAGAUAUCCAGAAAAAAAAUUCCUCAGCCGGGAGAGAAAAAGGAUAUGUAAAAGAACAAAUGCAUCAAAUACUCCUUUGUGAUGCUAAUCCAAUAAAAUCUAUAAAUGAAGCAAGAUUCAAAAGGCUCUUCCAAAAAAAAAGGAACAAAUAGAAUGGUGUACUAAACAUCAAAUAAUUAUGACCAGAGUGAGUAUGUUCAAAAUAGAUUACAUGUAUGUCCAUAUUUCUUUACGAUGCAGUCAAAAGCGUCUUUAUUACACUUCGAACACAUGCUAUGUCCACUUACCUCCUAGAUGCACAUGCAUUUCCAUAUAUAUUUAUGGUGCGGCCAAAAAGUCUUUAUUACCCAUCAAACACAAGUGAUGGCCACUUACUCCUAGAUGGUAAUAGUAAUACUAACCAUUAGAUUUCAUAUAACAGAUGGAGCAGAACAGAUGGUGUUUAGUUGAAACGCCAGACCACAUUUCCCAUUACGCUGAUAAUCGAAACACAGUGAGGAAUAAAGUGGGGAGAUCACUUUUGUGGUAACGUUUUCCCAAAGAACUCGAUACUGGUGGUAACGAGCUUUGUAUUGGGACCGUAUCGUAUGAUUCGUAUCCCAUGGUAUUGGAUACCAGUGUACGCAAACCAAACAAAUUCGUAAUCAAGUUGCAGUGUUAACUUGCUACAGAGAAAAACAGCCAAACAAAACAACGCUAUAAUUCGGUGCACUUUAAAUUUCCAUAUACUAUUGUAUCAUCUAGUGCAUAAGAACAUUGUGGCAGACUGAUAUUCUAGAGGAAGUGGUUAGUUAGGGCCAAAUCGAAACAAUGCCUUUAAUCAUUGUAGAACGGCCAUUGAAUUACUUGUUUAAAAACAGUAAGCAUGGCAAAGGAAUGACAUUAUCAGUCCAACAAAAUAAACAUUUGCAAGCAUAAAGGAAUGGAUCCAGGAUAAAUAUGGCUCUAGCUGAUGCUUUUCUUACCAUUGAAAGGUCAUGCAGAUAGCUACUGUGAUGCCAAUAAGAAAGUUCAGCAAGAGAAUGUGGGCCAUGUCUGCGGCCUUCUGCAUCCUCAAACAUCCAACAUGAUUCUUCACUCAAAAGAGCCUGGCAUAGAGAAUAGAAACUACACAAGUCAGGAAGGUAGACAAGCAAAGCAAAAGGAUGAUGUGCAUAAUAUGGACAGAAAUAAAAGCCAUACAUCCGGAAGAAGCAAUUUGCUAACAGAAGCCAGUUUCUUAUUCCCUGCUGAUUUGUUUCUUGUGUCGACCGCAGCAUUGGAAUUCCAUUGCGAAAGGAACUGUUUCAGGAAACUUAAGUGCACAGGGUUCGCCAUUUUCCCGCCAAAAACUGCAUAAAUAGCAAGAUCGUGGGGCAAGAAACCAGUGGAUAAACCCUCAUACAGCUGUUCGGGUGAGUAAGGGCCGCACAUCUGCCCAUGCUGAUUCAUGUACAUGCAGCCUUCCAAAGUCUGGUUCUGCACAUACCCAUCACCAUGUGUCCCAUUCUGGCCAGCUGAAUACCGUAGGUCAGACUGCGGAUACACCACGCCAUUGCUGUCGACAGAGCAAGUGUUUUCCUGCAUUGCAGCAAACAUGCCAGCGCCUUGCGUCUGGUCACCACCGCUGCAGGAAGCCACCUGAUGCCGUUCCGAAAACCUGAUCAAUCGACCAAACACGUGAGAUGGAGAACACCAUAAAUCAAUCCAUCAGUCGAUCAAUUUCUAGAAGUGAAUGCAUCAGCUAAGGAUCAGUGAAGCCCCUACCAUCGGACCAAAUCCCCUCGCGCAUCGCCGGACGCUGUCGCCGUGCUCUCCUCCAUGUCCUCCUCCCCUGCCUCCUCGAGCAGCAACACCCUCACGCGCUUCCUCCCACGGCAAGCAUCGGCGUCGCCGCGGAAGCCCGACUCCACCGCCUGCACAACACUCAUCAUCCCCUGAACAAACCCGAACACAAUAAAUCGGUAUCCGCAGAUCUCUUCAUCCCCUCAAGCAUCGUCAAAGGAUCAACGCGGAUCUAAAGCUACGAACCCUAAAUAAAGACUAACACGAGCCGACGGUGAGUCGAGGCCGCCGGAGAGGUGGGUUGGGGGGGGGGAGCUUACCGGAUCGGAGCGAGCGUGCGGCAUGGUGAGGCGAUGAAGACGACGCCGGCUUCGCCGCGCCGCCUGGGGGAGAGGUCGGGGUCGCGACCCGUGCCGUGCUGACGUCACCUCUUUGUCUCUCCCUCCUCCUCUCAAGUCUCGAGGUCGAGGGGGUGGAGCCAAGCAAGCGGCGACGCCGGCGAGCGGUCUGGACGGCGGCGGCAGCCGGCGCUACCACCGUCUCCGCCUGCACGUACGGGCGUCGUGCGGCAGCCGGCUCCAGCUGAUGGCGAGUGGCCGAGACGCCGAGUGCUUCUGGUCCUUCGAGUUCGAGACUGCUAGGAUUAUAGGACAUACAUUCAGUUUGGGCCGGUUGGGCCAUUGGGCCAAAUUGGUACUAGGCUGCUGCUCGAAAUUCCGGAUAAUUUUUCAGAAAGUUUUCAACCGAUUUCGCGUUCCGAUGAAUAAUACUCUUAUCGUCUCCGUUUCUGUUUUCGAAAAAAAUUCGAUUUCAGUUCUGAUUUCGAAAAAUCCUGAAAAAAUUCCGAGCAACGUGUUCUAUUUCCGAAAAUAGAUCCGGAUUCCAGAAAAAUUCUGAACCAAUACGCUAGGUGGAGGUGGACUCGCUGUGUAGUAGUAUAGGCAGGGCGUGCGGUUCGCGGUUCUCGGAGCAUCUCCAAGAGCUUGCUAUCCAUACUUCACAUCCAUGUUUUUCUGGUAAAUUAAAAAAAAGCACUCCAAUGAUUUGCCAUAUGGCUUUCUCAAAUUUAGCAAUUUGUCAUAUAUCCUCAUUUGCGCCUAUAUUUAAGAGUCCAAGUUUGCGUUGCCAUCACAGAAAAAGUACAACACACUCCUCUCUCGCGCGCGGAACUCACACACGUCGACUCCGCCUCCUACGUGCGCCAUCGGUGUGCCGUGCGUCGCCGGCUCCUGCCGCCAUGUGUCGUCGCCUCCGGGAGCCACCGUCGCGGGUCGUCACUCCACGGCGAGUGUGGCGACGGCAGGAGGCAUGGCGCAGGGAGGGCAGGACGAGGCGGCAGGUGGUGGGGUCGAACACGAAUGUGCGUGGACAAGACUUUCAAUUUUCAGAUUGAAAAUACAAAUUAUGGGUCCAAUUUUAGUUUUGCCAACUAAAAUAUACAAAACUAUUGGAGACCGAGUAUAAUUUUCUUUGUCAUAAUAUUUGAAGACUUGCCAAAACACCAGAUUUUUUGAGAAAAAAAUUUGUCUAGCUCUUGGAGAAAAAAAUUUGUGUAGCUCUUGGAGAUUCACAUCAGAUGUUUAGACACUUAUUAUAAAUAUUAAACAUAAACUAUUAAUAAAACUCAUCUAUAAUCUUGCACUAAUUCGCGAGAUAAAUCUAUUGAGCCUAAUUAAUUCAUGAUUAGCUUUAAAAAAUUUAGGCUUAAAUAAUUAUGGAUUUUAGGCUUAAAAAAUUUAUCACGCGGAUUAGUUCUUAUUUCUUUAAUUAGUUUUAUAAUUAGUCUACGUUUAAUAUUUAUAAUAAGUAUCUAAACAUCCGAUAUGAUAUGUGACUAGAAAGUUUAACCACAUUUAAACAAUCCCAUGUAUGUGGAUAUUUCUUAGAGUGCACAAGGAGGGUUGGCUUGAAAGGUGAUGGGCCAACGAAGUACGAAGGCCGAAGAAGACGGACGGUGGGCUGGGCCCAGAUUCAACCGACAUGUGGGCCCAGGAAGCUGUAUACACCGCAACGGCAAUCCCGCCAUCUCCCACCGCACCUGCCACCGUCACGCUAUACCAACACCGCGCGUCGGUCGUGAACUAUGACCUCAUCCAAUAUAACUCUCGCCCACCCUUGCCCAGAACAGAAAAAUAUAGUAGCUAGAUAGUUUUUUCCCUCGAUGCACAAUCUAAGACUUUGAAAAAAAAAAUUAAUCCAUCCAUUCAUUCAAAAAGAUCACAGACAGAAUCAGACUCCUCAAGUUUUCUUUUCAAAUGUAUAUCAUGUAGCAUGAAGUUUAAACAUCAUCAUUUGCCAGAGAGAGUUAACUUGCACACCAAAGUCACUCGUCAUCCCACACCACCCCCACCUCAUCUUCAUGCACCCACACAACAUCCUCCUCCUCGCUGCCAUCUUGAUGUUGUUCGCCUCUCCUCUUUUCAUCCAGGUAACUCAGUAGCUUGGGGAACAGGAAUGAAUCAUCCAGCUGCAUUGUGUGCUCAGCUGUAUGAUUCUGAUAAAACCGUCCCACAGUACUAGUCCCCUUCUGAAAGCAUUUAUCACACAGAUCAAAACCAGGCGCCUCACACUCCGUGCAGCUAUAUCUUCUCCCUUGGAUUGGGAAGACCUACAAAACAAACAAACAGAUAUAUCAAUUCAAACAGGCUGCUGAGAUAGACAACAAGCUGAAUUUAACGGCUGGUGUAUAUCUAGCCAGCCAUAGCUAAGUUUAGAGUUCAAAGAAAAAUACCCCACAAUCAUCACAGCCCACCCCCACGUGGGUAUGUUUCAGCCUUGAAGAUUGCACUUUGCUUGGGCCUGUUUUCUUCUCUGGAACUCCUAAUCACAACAAGAGACAUUGCAGCAAUGAUGGUAUGGUGUACAAAUUAUUUUGCAAAAUGUAACAUAUAUACCUGAAUAUGAAACUCUUUGCUGCCUUAAAUUGUAUUCUUCGAAGAAGUAAUGCUUCAAAAAGUAAUCAAGGUUCCAGCACACUGUAAGCUUUGCAGGAUGGGGAGCUCCACAAGCUUGACAUUUAAUUUCCUUCUCAUCAACAUAUGGUAGGCAUGUCAAGCAGUAAACUGUUCAUAAAAUAAUAAUGUCAGUUUUCAACAAAAUAUAGGUAUCCAUAUUAUUUUGUCAUAAAUUUGAGCUCACCAUGGCCACAGUUCAACACACAAGGUUCCAACAGCAGCUCCUUACAGAAGAUACAUAGAACAUCUUCCAAACUGACCUUCACACCUACCAAAGAAACAAACAGUUAAAAUAAAGUGGAUGACCAAAAAGAAACAAUGAUAAUCUACAGUAAAAAAGAACUGUUAUUGUUCAGACUAUAUACUAGUGCAAACCAAGAAUAAUUCAUAAAUGUAAAUGCGUUGUAAUUGGGGAAACUACGUACAUAACACAUUAUAACUGAUCUGUCAUCUUGUUGCAUUAAGAUAGGUAUAACCGUAUAAUGAACUGAAGUUUCAUUAUAAUAAUAUCUUGGUCCCAUAAGUUGAGUGAACCAAAAUGAUUUCCAUACAGCACAUGAACAUGCUAAUAGUUUAAUGUUUUUACUCAUCUAAAAACGGCCUACCAAUCAAACGCACCAUAUCGGUUAAUCAAAUGGGGUUUGCGAAAGAAAAACUUGCUACGGAACAAAACAAAUACUAAUUCCGGUUUCAAAUACUAGUUCGAGGCCCAAGAAGCCGCGAACGGCACGGACCGACCGUGGUGUUGGACAUUCCCUGAUGGCGCGCAUCUUCUGCCCGUCCAUAGCGAUACCCGCCGCUGACACAACAUGUCCGACUGGCCAAAGCCAAGAAACGAGUUUGAUAUGCUGCCACCGUAGAGUUUUGCGACAAUUGCUUUAGCUCGCCCAAAGAAUUGGGAUAGAUUGGGGGAUCGAAUUGUGCUUGACACAAUUCUUUGAACAGAGUCCAAUCUAGUGGUCCCUUAUGUUGCUCAUAGUGGAAGUACCACUCGUGGGCGGUGGAGCAAGUGGGGCAAAGUAGGAUAUCUGCACCAGAUUAUUGCUGAUUUGUAUUUGGGUUAAUUUGAUCAGUGCCACUGCAAAUUCGCUGUAUUAGAAAAAUACCAUUACUAUUCGUGAUAUCGAUCAUGUGCCAAUGCAAUUUUACAAAAUUAGAUCCAUGCCAUUGCCGUCACGUUUCUUCGAGGACGGUGUAGGGACAACGCCAGCUCUUUCUGGAGUCACGGCGCCGCCGCCGUCGAGGGUUCCAGCGACGUAGCUGCUUGCCGUCAUUACUUGGGAGGGGGCAGGGAGAGUUUAAGGAAGAGCUACGGUGAGUUCGUCGACACCACGUACGACACUACCGCCCCGACGCCGCACCAGCAGACCGCGUGUGCAUCCCUAUUCAAGAGCGCCGCUCUUCGCGACCUCAUCGAUGGGGCUCUUCACCUAGCUCGCCUCCGUCGCGUCGUACAGGGGCAUGCGAUGUUGGCUGUGCUGCUAUAGAUCAGGAUGUCGUCAAAGAAGACAAGCACGAAGCGACGAAGAAAUGGUGAGAGAACUUCAUUCAUGAGAGCAUGGAAUGUUGCUGGUGCAUUAUUAGUAAGACCAAAAGGCAUCACCAAAAAUUCAAAAUGACCUUGCUGUGUAAUGAAUGUUGUCUUGUAGAUGUACGGAGGGAGCAUGAGGACUUGGUUAUACCGGAGCACAAAUCCAAUUUUGAGAAAAACUUGGCACCAAGAAGUUCGUCGAGCAGUUCGUCGAUGAUGGGUAUAGUAAAUUUAUCCUUGACGGUAGCAGUGUUAAGUGCAUGAUAAUCGACACAAAACCACCAAGAGCCAUCAUGUUUGCAGACGACUAGGACCGAUGAUGAAAAUGACGACGUGUUGGGUCGAAUAAUUCCUUGCUUGAGCAUGGCAGGGCACUGUUGUUCUAGCUCAUCUUUUGGCAAUUGGGGAUAGUGGCAUGGGCGAACUGCUACUAGACUGGCAUCUGGCUUGAGACAUAUGGGAUGAUCAAUUGGCCGUGCUGAGGGGAGGCCUCGUGGUUCGGUGAAGAUAUCCUCAAAUUCCUCGAGAAGGCGGCCCAUGAUAUUGCCGAAAUUGAUGGCAGCAAAGUGCGAUGAACAGCAGUCCGCCAGGCCAUGCAGGGUGACCUCCCGUGUACUGCGCCAAAUCGCCAUCCUCAUUCGGUUGAAGUCCCACAAGGUAGGCCCCAAGGUGCGAAGCAAUCGAUCGUGAACUAUUCUACAUCAAUCUGCAAAACGAGGUUGUUGCAACAGGCGAGGCUAACCAAGCGAUCCCCGUUGGUCACCACCAUGCGCAAGUCCGACCGAACUGGUAGGAGCUGGAGACUGAGCAGAUGGGCUAACUCGGUGUGGAUGAAAUUACGUGUUGAUCUCGAAUCGAUGAGAGCCACAACAUUACUGCCUGCUAGGUUCACCAGCAAAUGCAUGGUGUCUACGUCGCCCACUCCAGACAACGCAUUAAGGGUCACGCGCGGUUCAUCUGAGAUGUCCUCUGCGUUGAUGUCAUCCUCCUCCGGUGUUGAGUCAUCAUAUUCGAUGUAGAAAAGCCGCGCACACUUAUGUCUACAAACAAAUUUCUAAUCGCAAUUGUAACAAAGGUGUUGACGACGUCGGUCGGCAAGCUUGGAUGGAGACAACCGACGGAACUAGCGGAUAUUUGCAUCCGAGAUGGAUUCAGUGCCAAAAGAUGGUGUCAGACGGCUUGGUGUGGCAGUAAAAUCCCCGCGGCUCAUGCUCCGGAACGUCGGUCGGGAGGCGGUUGUGGCGAGGCGGGUUGCCUUGCAUUCGUAAGCAUGAGCAAGGCUCAUAGCCUCCUGUAGAUCCUCCGGUCGGUCGAGCUCGACAUCAACGACGAUGUCAUCCCGUAGGCCGACAGUGAAGAGUUGUAUCUGCUGUAAAACAGUGAGGGCCUCCAUCGUCCGACUAGACAAAGCUAGGAAACGAGUUUGAUAUGUCGCCACCGUAGAUGUUUGCUUUAGCUCACCCAAAGAAUUGCAAUGGAUUUGGGGGACCAAAUUGUGCUUGACACAAUUCUUUGAACAGAGUCCAAUCUGGUGGUCCCUUAUGUUGCUCGUAAUGGAAGUACCACUUUUGAGCCUCCGGUGAGAUGGUAUGUGCCUAAUCACAGCCGAUCCCCAUCCCGCGAAAGAAUUAUUCACAGUGAUUGAACCAAUUCAGCGAGUUUUCCUUGUCGUCGUAUUUGGGAAACUCCAAUUUGUAGAAGCAAAGCACGAUUGUACCCCUGCUGUUUUCCUGCACUCCGACCGAUCCAAUCAUAGAAGGUUGUCAAGGUGGUGUUGACAUCAGCCCCUCACCGCCCAAUCUGGGCAGGUGGGUUGGUGAUGACGACGGUCCUCCUUGCAAUUGCUCCAAUGAAAUGAUGCGAGAUGAAGUGACUGCUACUGCUCAGCUAAGAUCUACCAAGUCGUUCUUUGAAGCAAGCAAAGAGAUGCCGUUGAGAACUUCUACCAUGGUUGCUAACAACUUCGCCAAGGCAUCCUCAGCGUCCGGCGCAACGGAUUUGUUGGCUAACGACUUGUCUUGGACCAUUUGCUCUGAUACCAGGAUUCCUUUAUUGCCGAGACGAGUCGUAUUGACGCUGCUCCAACGCCGUGAUGCGGGAGGUGGCCACUGCGAACGUGCGGCUGAGAUCGGCGAGAUCGCUUUUGGAAGCAAGGUGCAAAAUUUUGCCAGCACGUCAGCCAUGGUGUCUUGUAAUUUUGCAAGCGCAUCGAUUAGCUCGAGCACGGGCUGCUCAUGGGAAGGUGGAUCGUGUGCCAUUGGCUUUGAUACCAAGUUGUUAUGCGCCCGAGUAUACGAUCUAAUUGGAUAGUUAUGAGUGAUGAGAGGGCGUGGACGCGGCAGCCUUGCUGCUGGGCCUCGUGACAACGAACAGAGAACAAUUGGAGAUGAGAAACAGAAGACAGGAGAUGAGGAAGAUAGAUCGAAUCCAGCUUGAUUUAUUCCCCGACGAGUUGUCUACAAUUUAGUUUUGGAAGAUUUAAGCUAAAUUUCUUUUGAAGUAGUUAGCAUUGCCUAUGAUAUAGCAUUUUGUUGUUUUCAGUACCUCGUCCAUUGAUUCCCAUUUUCCUUUUUUUUAAGUACUUGAAGAGAGUUUAUAAAGAAGUUUACUUCUUAGCAUGUCACUAAUUUGCGACAAUGUUAUUCUGUCGGUUGGGUAAAACAAAGGGAAAAAAUCAGAUUAGGUGUGAUGCUCCCUUUGAAAUGAUCGAAUAAAAUGUUCAUGACAACAAAUUUUGGGAGAGUGAAUCCCAUAAAGUCGAUGGCAGCAAUGGCCAAGGUUAGAGUGCAUCCUCCCCAGGCAACAUGACUGCUUUUAGAAUUUGAGCUUUGCCCUAUUUUUCCUGGUCCAUUGCUUUUUCCAAUGAACAUAUCAACAUGUUAUUGUUGAGGUAUAUGGCUUAGUAACACUUGCAUUUGAUUUUAUGAUGGUUUCUCAACUCCAUGUGUUCCAUUUAACUGAAAAUGGAUGGCCAAUAUUUCUUUUAUCCCAGAUUCAUGGAAACACGGCUGAGAAGCCUAUACAAGUUAUAGCCCUUAUGUGUGGCCUAAAAUCACCCUUCAAUAGGUAUUGCCUUUUCAUUUUCAGAAUUGGAAUAUGUAACUGUUUUCUUGACCAUGCAAACAAUCAUUUAGAACUGUACAAACCAAUGUGGAUCCUCCUUUUAUCUACAGUAAUUAGAUUGUUCUCUUCUCUAUACCUCACUACAAUCUAUUUUUAACAAUGCUAAUUUAGAAAAUGUUGAAAUACUCUAAUAAGCGACUCUAUCAAUUAAAUAUCUAGACUAGCUACUAAUUUAUUAUUACCUUAAAGGUCAAGCUAACAAAUUUAAUAUUUAUUUAAAAUUGCGGGGCCAUGGCAUUAGGGGUGGACAAAAAGCUCGGGCUCGUGAGCUCGGCCCGAGCAUGGCUCGAGCUCGCAAAGCUAGACUCGGCUCGAAAAUUAAACGAGCCAAACCCAAUUUGUCUCCAUAGCUCGUUUGCAAAAGUCGAGCCCAAGCUGGCUCACAAGCCACUCGGUAGUCUUGUCGAGCUGUGGAAAAAUUAACCUGGCUCAUUAACAAGUUGUCUAGCCCAUGAGAAAUAGAGAAACCUGAACCUAUUAUCCGCUCGCACAACAGAAACUCCCCUCCCCUUCCUGUCUUCUCACGCGGCUAUGCCGCUGUCACACCGAGAUCGAGACAGCGAACACGACUGAGGGGCGAGAGGAGUUGUCGCCCCUAUGCUCGUAUAUGAAUUGGAGAGAUUAUAUAUAAUUGUUGAUGGCAUUGAACUAUUUUUUAGAAAAACAAUAUGAUACUUUUGCACUUUUGUUAUAUGAUUUUAAUUAAAGAUCAAUUAAACAUAUUCUCGAAAAAUAAUUCAAAAAACAUGAACUUUAAUGAUUUAUUAACCAAAAAUUAUAACAACGCAGCAUUAGCACGUGCAUGUAACUAGUGCAUACAUAAUAAAUAUAGAUGAAUUGGAAGCUUGAAUGGAGUACUCACUUUUUUCUGCAUGACUUAGCUUUGAAAUCAACUGACCAAUAACACCACAUUGUCGUGGGAGAUGAUCAUGAUUAGCUUUGCAAAUGCAACACCUUGAGCUCUCAACAAUAGACAUGGAUUCUGAACAACAGUUGAGGCAUAUCAUGUGCCCGCAGACUGUAGCAGAAUAAGAACAUGAAAAUGAGAUGGAGAUUAUUGCCACGAUAACAAAACAAACAAAAAGAGAAUUGAAGCUGCGUCAAUAAAACACAAACAUUACCUAGAACCACGGGUUUGUAAGCUGGUUCUCUGCAAAAUAAAAGGAAUCAUUUUGAGUAUUCUCAACCUAACAUGUAGGACAGUUUGAGUUUGUUGCAGAAGAAGAUGAAGACGGGUAAGGAAAACUUACAGACAUAUUGGGCAGCAAAACCACCGGUCCAACAGCCAUGCGCCCUGGUCACUCCCCGUACCAGGCAUGACACCGUCAAUGAAGAUGGAGACAUGAUCCUCCUUGCCCACCAUGGGGUCUUCCUCCUCCUUGCCCGCCAUGGGGUGUUCUUCCUCCUAGCCCACCAUGGGGUGUUCUCACGUAGCCAGCUGCGACGGACCCAAGUUGCAAGAUUCAUAUCAUCAAAAGAAGAAGUUAGCAAUUAACUAAUCAAGAUCAGACAAAAUGGAUAGUUCCAUUAACUAAAUGACAUUUCUAGCCCGAAAAGUAUGAGGUACACAUAGGUAGUGAGCAUCAUCUUACUAAAUCCUGCUUAGGUAGCGCAAGACAAACGGAUCUAUCAUAACGCACUUUCAAAUGAUGAACUUGCUAAUGCAACCUUUCUCCUAAAUGCUAGAAGCAAACCAGCAUGCUAGAGACAGCUAAGCCUUGGGCUCAAACCAGGAUUUACAGUUUUAGUUUGCACAUUUCUAUAGAAGGGGCAAAAUUUCAGAAUUUCAAUUUUCGGAUUUUUCGAACGAAAGUUUUUGAAUUCAAAUUUGAAAUAUAGUUGAAAUGUCUGAAAAAAAUCCAAAAAAAUAGAAAAAUUUCGCAACAAACAACAUUGAUUACUACUACCUCAGUUUCAUGAUGCAAGAUGUUUGACUUUUUUUUUGUUGCAAUGUUUGACCAUUUGUUUUAUUCAAAAAUUUAGUACAAAUAUAAAAAAGGUCAAGUCGUGCUUAAAGUUUUUUUGAUAAUAAAGUAAGGCACAAGCAAAAUAAAUGAUAUUUUCAUAAUUUUUAAAUAAGAUAAAUGGUCAAACAUUGGAACCAAAAAAGUUAAACAUCUUACAUUAUAAAACGGAGAGAGUAUUUCUUUUCCUUCUGAAAAGAAGGUACUACAACUCACUAUUUCCUAUUCAUGCAUAAUAAACUAAUAAAACAACAGACCACAUAUGAUCAUCCACAACCAACCACAUCAAUCUCUGCAAACAUACCAACAAAAAAAGGUGACUAAAUUCAUGUGUUCUGAAUUCAUGCAGUACAACCCCAGUCUAACCUACUUAUGGUAUGUUUGUGAUAAACAGGGGUAGCACCCCACCAACACCUCCAGUUGCUAAGAAGCUAUUCAAGGAUGAUGCCCACCAGCAUAAUAGUGAGAGAUUACCCUACAAAAACUGAUCUUAUAUAUUUCUACAUAUACAUGUGUCCUUCACUACAAACCACUGAAUAUAGAAACUCUUUAUCUCCUUUCAACAGUGAAUGAGAUGGAUGCAUAUAGACAGACGAAAAAACUUUUGCCUAUGUGUAUAAACACUCCUACUGUAAUCACAAGGAAGCAUCUGGUAGACGACUCCAAGCUAGGAACCAAGGCUUUUGGACCACAGGCUGUGCAUCGUGGUCACAACUGUAAAUAAGAACUGCUAUCAUCUCUACGAGAACUAUCUGUGCAUCACUUCCCUUAUCAAAACACAAGGAUGUUUCCCUUUAGUAGACUGAACCAUUCCAACUUAUGCACCACUUCCUUCUUCCUGUAGUACCACUCUAUGUUUAUGGAUGCUUAUCAAUCAGACCAUUAGACCACUGUAUAAUAUUAAGCAGUUCUAUCCGUGCAUCAGCUACCUAACACAUCUUCAAUUAUAGUGCUCGCAAAUAAAAAGGUGUUGCAUAUCUUUAGAAAGAAGACAAGAUGUGAGGGAAAAAAAAAGGUAAUUACCUCCUGCUCCUGGUGGUGGUAGUAAAUGUUGAGUUCACAUAAGAUUCACUCCAUGAAUCUAAAAUUCAGUAAAAUUUUCACAUAAGAUUCACUUGAUGAACUCAACAUUUACUGCUAGUGUUGCUGCUAGUUACCUCCUGGUGGUGGACUGGUGGGCGACGGCGUGCAGAGGCCAGAGGGUGAGGGGGGCGACGGCGUGCAGAGGGUGGGGGGUCGACGGCGGCUGGGGGAGGCCGAGCGCCGGCGCCGCGGCGGUCGGAGGGUGCACGAGCGACGGUAGGUGGCGCAGGCCGNNNNNNNNNNNNNNNNNNNNNNNNNNNNNNNNNNNNNNNNNNNNNNNNNNNNNNNNNNNNNNNNNNNNNNNNNNNNNNNNNNNNNNNNNCGCGACGGGCGCCGACGCCGGCAGCGGGCAGCGGCCGUGGGCGAGACAGCGACCCGAGGAGGAGACGACUAAUUAUUUUUAUUCGCACGGGUGGCCGCGCGUGAAUUGGGUAUUUUCGGGCCUCGUAGGGUUUCCUCCUCGGAUUUGGAGUUUUUUUUUAACCGAAAUAUUUGACCCGAGUCACUUACUAUCGGGACCCACUGAAAUGGCCAAAAAUUUGAAAAUUUCAUUCGGGAAUUUUGAACCCUGCCAUAUGUGUGUUGCACGGCGUGAGUGCUAGCUUAGUGGUUGUGUUGCGUGGCUGAGUGAGCAGAGAGAUUGGCCGUGAGUACUCGCUGAUUAUGUUGCCAGGAGAUGAGAGUACAUCUAGGCUCUAGCUAAUUAGUUAGCCAUGCAUGCAAAUGUGACCCUAGGAUCAGCUCACGUCUAGGAGAAGGAAGUACUCCAUGUUUGCAUGGACGCAUGCUUGCAUCCGAGAUUGACUAGGACAUCUUCAGUUGGAUAUGGGUGAGUUAGUUAUCUAGGAUCACGCCGUCGUCGAUGCUGCCACCAUUGGCCGAGAAGCAUGAUGCCAUGAUUCUCUUCUUGCGGCGGCCGAGUGUUAACGUUAGAAUUUGGAUAAUUGCCGUUAGAGAUUAAACUGUGAUUAAAUACCGAAUCAUACAGGAAACAGGGAAUCGGACAUAGAUUAAUGGGAGUACAACUCAGAUUUAGCCGACGGAGUCCGGAUCGGAUAAGAAUAGAGUCCGAUUGGGCCUAGAAUGUUACAGAUAGAUUCGGGAAUAAUUAAAGUCCGUGUAAUUUAAUUUUAUCUGUUAGCUACAGUUAGUUUAUAUUUUUCCUUUUAUCUCUAAGAGAGUCAGUACGAUCGGGACUUGUGUGUUAGAAUCUAUCUAGGAGUUUGUUAUUUCUUUUUAUCUAUUAGGAGUUAUAUGUCGUGUCCAACACGGCCUAGCAUCCACCCGAGGGUAUAAAUAUGUGUGUCCGGGGUCAUUGUUAAUCAUCUCUCAAUCAAUCAAAUUUCAACGCAUCGCCACCCUCUUGUCCGAGGUUUUCAACUCCGGCGGAACUUGGCACCUGACGCGGGGCUGCAUCGUAUCGAUCUCCGACGGAGGGGUAAGUCCUACGUUCCGCCGGGCCACGGUAAUCGCAUCAACUAGAUUGGAACUGUCUUGAUUCGGUCCGAUCUUCUAAUCUGGUUGUGCGAUUGCUAUUUAUCGUAUCAGUUUCAGUCUGAGUUCUUUAUGUAUCUUAGGUUGAUCUGGUCAACCACUUUGAGUGAUUUACAUCAAUUUGAUAUUUCCUAUUUGAUAUAUUCAAUCUAGUACUGUCUCGGUUAGGUCCGAUCUAGUAGAUUGCGUUUAUCAAAUGGUUUAUAUCAGAUUGAUAUAUCUUGCUCGUAGUUUUAUCGGAGUAUCAGCCAAUAAGUUAUCCCGAGUAAUCUGUUGGUUUAUUCAUUAAGUUCAUCGAUCUUCAUAUUCCUAUGAAUCAUAUCGUGCUAGAUCGCAUACUGUCUUGGUUAGGUCCGAUCUAUGCGCAUUUAGUUCGAUCUGCUUCUAGGAAUCCGUCCGAUCGGCUGAGAUUAAUGAAUAAGUUGAUAGAUUACGUUGGUUUGAUAUCCUGUUAUUCAUAUACUGCAAUACUCGAUCGACUUCAUGCAUGAUUACGCUCAGAUCUGUACUGUCUUGGUUGAGUCCGAUCUUCUAGGUCUAGCGUGAGUAUGCAUGUAGUUAAUUAUUAUUGCUUUAUACUAGUAAUUGGUAUAGCAUUCCAGUUUAUAUCAAAUUCUCAUCGGUUCAUUGGCUUGAUAGCGAUCUAGAUCUGUUUAGUAUAUAUCCUUACAUUACUAGGCAUAAUCUUGAGCUGUCUUGGUUAAGUCCGAUCUUCUAUGAUUAUUCUUAGCAAUCUAGGUUAGAUAUUUUAUAUAUCUUGAUCGCCUGUCAGUCGUUCAUAGCCGAUGAUGUCUGCCGAUCUACAUGCUUAUUAUAUUUACGUCAACAAAGCAGUCGAUUGCCUUGCUACAUUAUUUUUAUACCUAUCAGCUGGAUUCAUUUAGAUCUGCACUUAUUUAUGUUGCAUCGACUUAUAAGAAUUAUAUGCAAAUUAGUUUUAGCCGAUCGCGACACAUGAUUUAAUGUUUACUUAACUAUUUGAGCUUACAUGUAUCGGAUUCUCAGCCGAUCCAAACUUUCAAACAGCCGAUUGAUCAUCCUAUCGGCUAAGAUCGGCUGAAUCUUCAGUUAUCUAUCGGCUCGAUGGCCGAUCGGCUUGUUUCACUGUUCAUCUUGUUAGUUGCAGGAUCAAACUGACUGGCACGCCCGCGCAUCCUUCUAAGAAUUUAGGUCCUGCACUGGAGCUGUCUAAGAUUGACUUCUAGGCCUUCGUGUGUGACGCGUCAACGUUCACAUUUUGACGUCAACACCAAGUUUUUGAACCUAGCGGCGGCGGACGGCGGGAUCCACGGAUGCUGGGAGCGUGAGGUCAAAGUCGGAGAGCAUGACGUGAUCGUCGCCUCGGAGCAGGACGUGCGUUCUUUGCUUCAGGGUAGCAGUACACGAAGCCGAGCGCAUGCAAGUACUCAAGCGCCAGAAGCACCUCAGCAGCAUACAACCUCGCAGCGGCAAUAGUCAGGCGGUGCCGGAGCACCGCGUGGAGGUCGCCCCUAGAGCAGUAACCAUGAGGAAGCACGCAUAGCGUCCGGCAUCGAGGCAUGCGUAGAGUAGAGGGUGGGCAUGAAGGGGUGGUCGAGCGAGGAGAGGACGUGUGACUUGACGAUCGAGCAUAUGGGCGGGAAGUGGGGCGAGAUGCCGGAGGAGAGCGGGGAUGGCGGGGCAGGGUCAAGCACGUCCAUUGGUAGCGACGAUUCUGCUUGCAUGGCCGCGAGAGAGAGGGAGAGGGAGAAGCACACGCCGGCCGCCACCACGCUCCGGAGAAGCAUAGAAGAGAGGAAGAAAGAGAGAGGAGAGGAAGGGAGAGAAGGAGAGGAAAAAAAAUUAAAAAACUGACAUGUGGGACCCAUUAGAUGCCACAUCAGCAAAAACAGUAAAAAAUGAGCUAAAUUUGCUGAAAGACCUUUUUCCAAACAGAUUAUACGAGUUUAGGGGUACACAUUUCUGAUAUUCCGGUUAAGGGAAAAAACAGACUCACCUUUAACUUAAGAGACCUUUGGUGGACUUUUUUCUCAGAAAUAUAUAUGCACUAAUCCAUUACUAGUCAGCCCAUAUACCUGCAACAACAGGACUAGGUCCAUGAACAUUGGCUCACACAAAAAUGACAUUUUGCACAAGAGUGCUGUAAAAACAGUUAGAUGGAGUGAUUUUGAGAAGGAGAGAGAAAAAAAAACUGACAUGUGGGACCCAUUAGAUGCCACAUCAGCAAAAACAGUAAAAAAUGAGCUAAAUUUGCUGAAAGACCUUUUUCCAAACAGAUUAUACGAGUUUAGGGGUACACAUUUCUGAUAUUCCGGUUAAGGGAAAAAACAGACUCACCUUUAACUUAAGAGACCUUUGGUGGACUUUUUUCUCAGAAAUAUAUAUGCACUAAUCCAUUACUAGUCAGCCCAUAUACCUGCAACAACAGGACUAGGUCCAUGAACAUUGGCUCACACAAAAAUGACAUUUUGCACAAGAGUGCUGUAAAAACAGUUAGAUGGAGUGAUUUAGAAUAAGGGGCUGUUUGAAUCUAGAGACUUUUUUUAAGUCAUUUGUCACAUCGGGUAUUUGGACGUUAAUUAGGAGUAUUAAAUAUAGACUGAUAACAAAGCUAAUUACAUAAAUAAAGGCUAUUUCAUUAGACAAAUUUUUUAAGCCUAAUUAAUUCACGAUUAGCAAAUAUUUACUGUAGAAUCACAUUCGCUAAUCAUGGGUUAAUUAGGCUCAAUAGAUUCGUCUAGCGAAAUAGUCCAAGAUUUUGGAUGGGUUUUAUUAAUAGUCUAUAUUUAAUACUUCUAAUUAGUGUCCAAGCAUUCGAUGUGAUAGGGACUUAAGAAAAGUUUGGAGGAUCCAAAUAGGCCCUAAAAAAUAUGAAUGAAAUGGUUCCUCAAGAAUCAACUAGUUGCAAGUACUAUGCAUUCCCUGCUGAAACCAAACACAUUGGGUACUGUAUGAAUAAAACUAAAACAAACAGAAGACCAAAUUGUAUAGACACAAUGGCAAGGCAUCAGAGUGACUUGCUUUAGUGCAAACAUCAUACAUCUCAAGAGCGCGUUAACAUCAUUCAGAGUAAUUUUGUUGGCCUGUACAACAAGAAGGGACAGUAUUAACCUUGUCAGCCAGUAAACAUGAACCUUGUUUAGCAGAAAUACUAAGGGUCUGUUUGGUUGUUCGUACGACUCCAGCCUGGUUUAUAUCUUUCAUCCAGGCUUCUCUUAGCCUGGCUAGAGUAAUCCAGUUGGCUCUGUUUGGUUGUUUGUAUGAGCUUAUCCUGAAUGACCUAAGAUAGUGUUCGGUCGAUUCCAGCCUGGUUUAUAUCUUUCAUCCAUGCUUCUCUUAGCCUGGCUAGAGUAAUCCAGUUGGCUCUGUUUGGUUGUUUGUAUGAGCUUAUCCUGAAUGACCUAAGAUAGUGCUCGGUCGAUUGUUUCUCUGUAUCUUGUAUCCAAAAGAUGAUGUUUGGUUGAAUGUUUGGAACUGAGUGCAGUCACCACUUCUUAGAAAUGGUGAGGUAUGCCACAUGAUUCAUUCCAAUGAAAAACUAUUUAAGUCCUUAGUGAAUAAAUUGUUAAAUAUAUUUAAUUUUAUUUUUUAACAUUGACAUGCAUUUCCCCUAUGAUCUUGGGCAGAGAGUAGCAGUUUUGAUGACAGCUAGGCUAAGUAAGUUGAUUUAAGUCCUGUGUGUGUCUAUAUAUAUAUAUAUAUAUAUAUAUAUAUAUAGUACAAAUUCAUAUAUUAGUACUGCACCCUAACACUUGCCGAACAAUAUUUUAUUUUGAUAGAUUAGAUGCACCAUGCAGGUGUACAAUUAAAAAUAUGGCAUGAUUUCCGGAAGUGAUUUAUACAAAGCUACGUAAUUACCAGUCUGUCACUUGAGAAACAAUAAUAGGCAAUGUACAAGCAUGGUAGCAUGAACUGACGAAGCAUCAUACCCCAACUAAAAGGUUAUGCAUUAUAUUGGAGGAAGCGAGCACUGAACAAUUUACAAAGACGGCUCGGUUACAUAAUUAGCUGAGCUCAUUGUUCACGUCAGAACAUUGUUUUGUCGGAAUGACCGAAGGAGGUCAUUUAAUUAAGAUAGAAAGAAAAAAUUAUAAGAAAAGAUUUACAUCGACAGCUAGCUAUCGAGGAAGAAGGACGUGCACCAGAGCGCACGGCUCAAACCAUGUGCCAACUGUCCAAACAUACACCAUACAGAGAAAAGCCAAGCAACGAACCGACCAUCGCUAUACGAAACCGAUCGCCACCGAGCUAACGACACCACUAUGACAAGAAGACUCUAAAACGACGCUCUCACAAGGGUUACGACGCUAAAAGACGCCGUCGUCAUGUAUCAAAGACUGGAAAAUGUUUUCACCCAAAACUGAGCUCAUUGUUCACGUCAGAACCAACAUUGUAUGCCCAUUCCUCCCAAUGUUCAAAGAAUUUUGCAGGAACUCGACAGAGCACCUCAAAGCCAACUGCUGCCGUGCAUGAUGACUAGUUUGGAAAGCAAAACAUAUGUGACUUAAUGAGCAUGGCAGCCGAUCAGCUUCACGGCGAAAGCAGCAGCUCGAUGUACUGAUGUUCAACUGAUGUAGGGUGCUGAAACAGCAGGCUGAUAAGUCAGUUGUACCUUAAAGCCCACACUUAAAGCGCUUGUACCUUCCUCUGUAUGAACUGAAUAAUGUGUUCUGAUUCUUCUGCACAAGAAGGUUCUGCAACUUGUAAUCUUGCAGUACAGUUUGUUCCACGACCCCAUACCUUGAUAUAUAAUCACAAUCCUGAGAAAUGGUUUGUAUGCUAAUCUAUGACUAUGAACUUUACAUUGCAAAUAAUCAACUGUAACAAUUACCUGAAUGAUAUACUUCCUAAUUCAUUGAUCCACGGCACCUAAACAACCAGAAAAUAGUUAGCAAGAAGCAGUGGCGGAACCAGGAUCUCUGGACGCCUAGGGCUCAAAAUUGAAGACAAAACUACCUAUGAUAAGUCAUACACCUAAGUACAGUGAAAAUUUGAACUAAAAUUUUAUUAGCAUACCUCGUGGGAUGUAUAUUCAUGAUUUUCACUCUUCGUCAACAAUAGGAAGAGAACUUGAACCUAAUCCUAGAAGAUGAUAUUAUAUACGCAAGUGAUGAAAAUUGUAAGAGCUUAAUUAUUUAUAAAUUACAAAGCAAAAGCACAACAAACCUGUAGAUCGCUAGAUGUACAUAAUUUAUAUUUAUACGUAAGUUAUUAUAGUUACUUUUCUAAUAUAAUUCCCAUAGAUGAAAAGAAAUAUAACCGUUAGUUCAUAUAGUCAUUUUUCUUGCAAACUAUAAACGGAAAACAAGGAAUAAAAUCUGGAAGAGCAGCAACAAACCUCAAAACCACAUGUCCGCAACCAUUUGCUGUUUGAUAGGUGCAUCCCGUGUUGAACAAUUAAUAUUGCAAAAUUCUUAUCCCUAAAAUAAGACUUCAUGAUAUUUAGGAUCACCUGCGCUCGACAUUCUCUAAUUGACUAAUGGUUAAGAAAGGGAAAGAACAAAAAAAAAAUGAGAAAGGAAGAACUUGACUUGCAUUUUAGGUCUCUGACUCUUGAAGCUUGGGGAAUCCAAAUCAAACUACAGGGUCACUACCACACUUAAAGCGCUUGUACCUUCCUCUGCAUGACCUGAAUUAGUCCAUCCAGACUAAAUAAAUAACCUGAAUGAUAUACUUCCUAAUUCAUUGAUCCACGGCACCUAAACAACCAGAAAAUAGUUAGCAAGAAGAGGUGAAUAAUACUAUAUUAAUAAUAGCACAAAAGAAUUGCAUCGGAUGAACAAGAAAAUGUGACGUAUGCAACUCCUAAGAUUGAAAAUGCUGUGUUAUGAUGGUAACAAUUUAGGCUACGCCAGACCACAAUUUACAAGAUAAUCAAUGGCAAACAUAAAGCUUGCAAACUUGGCAACAGCAUUUACAAACUCAUCCCAGACAUAUAUAACAGAAUGCUGUUAGCAAAAUCUACGAUAAAAAAAUAGUCAUGUGAUUUUAACAAUACGGAUUUCACAUGUAUGUAUACCAUAGAAACAUAUGGUCUUCAGGCACAGCAUAAACAACAUAACUGAUCUUUCUAAAACUCAUUAAGUAGUGGUUGACUAUUUCAGGACAUGAAAACAUCAUAUUUUUGAACAGGCUUGUCAUGCUUCCAUGAAAAGUUGAGUACAUACCCCUGAUGUUAAUGCUAUAAUAACAGGCUCUAAACAAUGUAAUACCCACUUUUUGCCCUGGUUCAAAGCUUGGAAAUUCAAAUGCAAUUUUUCUCUACGCAAGCUACUCUUAGUCCUACAUUUUAUUAGAUUCCAUGGAACAUACAUCACUGACAAGAAAACAUCUCCUGUUACUAGCUCUAGGAGAGUUACCUCUGGGAACCGCAGUGGCAUGGGAUCUUCUUUUCCUCCAGUGGAAAUUUAUAAUUAUAAGUCAAUUCCUCGCCAGCAUAUAUACGCCUCUUUGCAUAAAUGAAAAUCUUCUUCUGGCCCUCGACAGUAAUUACUUUUGUAUAGCAAUUUGGCUGGUGUGCAAAAAAACAAGACACUAUCUAACAUGGUGUAAAAACAACAGUUAACAGUUUCAUGUUAAACAGCUUACAUCGCAAGAAUGGUUGAUGAAUCUUGCUAGCCCACCACGCUUAGUAGCAUCAACCUUCAUAAAUUAAGAAAGUAGGCACAAUUAAUACAUUAGAGCACAUGGUGCAUUCAUAAAAUAUGAUUAAUAUAAACCAUGUUGGACAGGAUUAUAAUCUGCAAAUGGAUAGGUAAUACAAAGAAGUUCAUGUCCCAUAAAACAUGGCAAAUAGAACACACCUUAGCAGCUCGGCUCUUAAGUUUUGCAGCCAUUUGCUUCUCGGUUUUCCUGCAUGAAAUAAUUUCAGGAAGUGCACUGCUAAAUAUUUCAUCAAUAAAAACUUUGCGGGCUGAUUUCAUUAUUCCAGCAUGCAGCUGAUGGCUUAUAUCCUCAACUAUAUCACUCAUUAAAGCGUUCAGCGACCCAGAAUCAUUGGCUGCAGAUUCUGAACGUUCUGCGCCCCCACUCCACACCAAUCAAUUAGUGAUACAAGCGUAAAUGGGCCAAACUUGCUGUCGACAUGGUAAAUCUACAGGAAAAAAUAACUGUUAUUGUUCAGACUAUAUACUAGUGAAAACCAAGAACAAUUCAUAAAUGUAAAUGCGCUGUAAUUGGGGAAAACACAUUAUAACUGAUCUGCCAUCUUGUUGCAUUAAGAUAGGUAUAACGAACUGAGGUUUCAUCAUAAUAAUAUCUUGGUCUUUUACCCAUAAGUUGAGUGAACUGUGAACCUAAAUGAAGUUUCGAAUUCUUUUUUCGGAUUUUUCGAACGAAAGUUUUCGAAUUCAAAUUUGAAAUUUAGUCAAAAUUUCUGAAAAAAAUCCAAAAAAAUAGAAAAAUACAGAGAAGAGGGAAGGAGAGGGCGAGGGGAGUGGGAUAACCUGCGGCUGACCUGCUGCCGCCGCCUUCCUUUCCCCUNNNNNNNNNNNGCCCCCCCCCCCUCCCCCUCCCCCCCCGCCGCCGCCCCCGCCGUCGUCCUGGCCUGCCAUGAUUGUCACUAGCCGCCGGCGACGGGCUCACCUUCCCUUCUCCGGCGAUGGGCCGUGGGGAGACGUAGGUGGGCUUGUUGGGCUAUUUGGAUCGGACACGGUCACCACCCAACCCAACCCAACCCAACCCAACACGGGCACGGGACACCCCUCCUAUAACACCAACGAGACGGACUCACCGGCAGCCCGACUGUUCCGCCGCCCACUCGCCUCGCCGGAAGCAGAGCACGCCUACGCCCUCCUCUUCCAUCUCCGGAUAUCGGCUACGCGCGCCCACCGGCACAGGCGGCACUCCGGCCGGCAGCAGCACGGGACGCCGACGGCACGGCACGGCAGUGCGGCACGCCGGCGCGGACCCCACCUACAGACCGGCGGGGGGGGGGGGCGGGGUGUGAGAUUCGAUAUCAGUUCUUUGGUUUUUAGUGAUGAUUUUAACUUAAUCCAUGAAUUUAAAUUUUAAUUUGGCACUUAAUGCAUAUAUAUAUUGAAUCACAUUGUUAAUUUUGCAAUUUUACCCGAUUUAUAUACGAUAAUUUUUGACUAGGUAUGCCCUUAGCAAAAAUCCUCACGUACGCAUGAUAUUCCAUCGAAAUUAAUUAUGUGUGAUAUUUUACCUAACAGUAGUCAUAGUCAUUGCAUCGAUCGGUUUGGGUUUAACUCGAUUACUGCCAAUUUGCUUUUGUCUGUAGUAGCUCGCCUUCUCCGGUUUAACAUGAUAUUACAUGUACACUGGUUUUUUGGCAGAGUACACUACUUCACUUGGAUUGAACUUCAUAUCAGCAAUUGUCAUCUAAAAAAAUAAAAGAAGAUAUUGCCUACUUAAUUGAAGUGUUACAAUUGCAAGUAUGUAAUUAUAUUCUUUUUCUGAUUUGUUUUGCUAUGUCAAUCUUGGUUAACUACUAGGAAAAUGAAAUUCUGGAGAAGAAUAGUAGCGCUAGUCCCGGAAGUGCAGUAUCCUGACCGGCCAAUCCCUUUCCGUCAAAAAGUGAUAUACACGGCCAUUGCACUUUUCAUCUUUUUGGUUGCCAGCCAACUUCCAUUGUAUAGGAUAGACCACCAACCUCGAACCAUUGACCGUGAUCCAGUAUAUUGGCUUCAUCUGAUUUUGGCGUCAAACCACAAUACUCUCUUGACGAAUGGGAUCAUCUCCAUUCUAUUACCUGAAGUUGCAAUGAAGAUCUCAGUGGAAACAAAGUCCAUAGUUCUCGAUGCCAGUGCACCUGAGACUAGUGUACUUCUGUAAGUGAUGGUUCUGUUCACUUUCAAUUAAUAGAUUUUUGCAUUGUUUUUGUUUGCUAAUUGUGAACUUUAUUUAUGAAAUCCAGGAAUGGAUCGCAAAAGUUGUUGGGAAUAUAUGUUACCAUUGUGGGAGCUGUUGUUAAUUUUUAUGUGCAAAAUCAACAUUUUAAUGUCAAUACAGCUCUAAUAAUGCUUCAGGUGCUUUGCUCUGAUAUUAUUGUCAUUUAUCUUGAUGACGUCCUAAAAAAGGGAUAUGGAUUGUUAUCUGGUAUAUCCUUGUUCACUGCCACCAACAUUUGGUAAGAUAUUGAAAUUAUAAGCAUCAUGGUUGAAUUGGUUUAAGACUGUAAGUUAACACUUGUCCCAUUUUCUAUACAGUGGAAAUAUCCUGUGGAAAGCCUUUAGCCCCAUGUCCAUCAUAUAUCCUGAAGGCGAUGAAUUUGAGGGAGCUGUUGUUGCCUGGGUUCAUCUUCUGAUUACUAGAACUGAUAAAUUGUCUGCAAUGUCCGAAGCCUUUUGUCGUCAAAACCUUCCGAAUGCUAUCAGCUUUCUAUCUACUUGCUUAUUUGUUCCACUUGCCAUAUUCUUCCAUGGCUUCUAUAUCGUAUUGCCUGUCAGGACCCGACAUAAUUUUCAAGCUUAUUGUCAUAUCAAGCUCUCACAUUUCUUGUAUGGGCCUAUCCUCUUGCACCGAGCACUGCUUAUACUUCCUUAUGCUGUCUCAAAGGUACUUGCUACACUGUUUCACUUCAUAAUGUGAUAGUGAUACUUCUUAGGCUUCCUGUGUAAACAUUGCUACCUGUCAUUUUUGGGUUGCAGGUGCUGUACAUGAAAUACAGUGGAAAUAUACUAGUGAACUUGCUGGGCAAGUGGGAUGGAUCUAACCAUUUUGGACAAUCUAUCCCUGUUGGAGGGAUUAUGUGCUACCUAACAACACCCCCUACGUGAGUGCACAUACUUGUGGAAAUAAUAUUGUCAACUCUUCUAAUUUCAAUUUAAAAGUAUGACUUGAUACACAACUGAUGCCUUUUGCUUUGCCUUAUGCUUCCCUUUUCCCUCGUGCAGCUUAGCUGAUUUGAACAGAGGCUCAUUCCAUGCAUUUGUAUACAUUGCCUUCGUGCUUAUUUCGUGUGUGAUUCUCUCAAUGGGGCUUAUGAUCUGUGCAUCUUCAAAAGGAGUUUCCAAUGAGUUUAUUGUGUUAAAUGUAUGGAUGAAACUCUCCACAGCAUCGUUGUUUUACCCUCUUUUCACUCUUACCGUAACAAUUUAUUUGUUAAGUUGUGAUUUGAUUCAAUGUAGGGGGUACGAAGCCUGAGGGUUGCCCAGUCCGACUCAAUACGUGUGAACGAAAUUUGGAGCCAUGUCAUGAAAGCAGCUUGUAUUGGUGGUUUUAGUGCUGGUGUACUCAUAAUUUUCGCAGAUCUCAUUGGAGUGCUUUGUUCUGGGACUGCAAUUAUGCUCGCUGUUUCUGCCAUAUAUCCUUAUGUUGAUGGCAGAGCUAGUGAGGUCGGCUCCUUUGGCUUCUAACUGAUUUGAGUUCUCUACUUCCUAUACAAAAAUGAGGAUGUAGAAAGAAUGCAAUCUAAUAGCCAGCCUCAAUUGUAACAAGAAUUAAUAGUGACUUGUUUAUUUUUCAUUAAGUCGUGUUAGUCUUGUAGCCUGCAACCAACCUUUGUUUUUUCU
rnacentral:lncRNA from 1 species